UUCGGUGAUACUUUUGGGAGAAAGGGAAGAGAGAAGUUGUGGGGAUGAUACUUGUGGUGGAGGUGACGAGUGGAGCUGACAUAGAAGCCAUGGUUACUUGACUCUGAAUACUACGUUGUAUAGGCUUUGCUUUUAUAAUGUGUUCUAGGUUUUACUUUUCUUUGCACAGGUGGCAGGCCGUACACAUUGGCGGUCCUUAAGGGUUUGACGAGGAAUACUACGUAGUCAUUUAGUACAGGGCAACCAUGCACUAUAGCACGUGGCAUGUAAUAUUUACGUAGUCUCAGAAGGUGAAGCGGUUUUGGGCUUCUUGUGUACCAAUAAUAUUUACGUACUCAUUAUUCCACUGGAUGGAUUGCGUGCACGUGAUCUUUAUUCAAACAAAUCACUAUUGACCAUAUAUUGCAAUUGGUUAAUGUUAGGCAAAUUAAAUUUUUACAUCAAAUAAUGUGGUUGCUGAUUAUUGAAUUAUUAUUUAAGUUUGAUUAAUGUGCUUAUUUUUUAUCGGUAAUACAUCAUUUGAUUUGCAAAUUUGAUUUACCUAAUAUUACCAGUUAUAAUUUGUAUAAAUGGACUGGUACCUAACAUUACCAAUUGUAAUUUGUAUAAAUGGACUCGUACCUAACAUUACCGGUUGUCCCAAGAGCACACGCUACUGCUCAAGAAGCAAAGUUCUUAUUUGCCCAAAAAAAAUCAUGGUUUUUUAAUUGAUGCUCUCAUUUUAAUUUACUAGCCCCUUACUUGGCCCUUUUUAUUUAUCAUUUUAUACAUAUUAAUAUUUUGUUUGUAAAAUAUAUUAGUGUUAGUUUUAUCAAAAUUAAAAAUAAAUAAAAAACUUAGCUUUAGUAUUUAGUUAUUGAAAUUGUAAAAAAAGUGAUAAAGUAUUGGGUGCUUUGUUUGAAAAUUUUCAAAAUGAUAUUGUUUUUACCACUGAACCCCUGUUAUAUACAGUGAUGGCUAAUUUGUCAAGUUCUACGAAGUUGGGAUACCCAGCGUUUUAGCAUAUAACAUAGCUUAGUAUUUCAAGCAUAAUUAAUUAACGAAAAAUUAGUAUCCGGUCCCUAGUUUUUACUGUUCAUUGACUAAGACCUUAUUAGUUCUCAAAUUUUGAUUCAAGUCCCUAGCAUUAAUGUGAUAAUGAAUUUACAUGUUUAUUAUAUAAUUUUUUAAUAUAAAAAUUAGUAAUUAAUUUAGGGUUUAAUACUCACACCUCUAUUAAACUUCUAAUUAAUUUUCAAUUCAGACAUUUCCAAAAUAAUAAAAAAUUAAAUUAAAUUAAGUUUGUACCUAUUAGUUUUUUUUUAUAUAUAAAAAGAUUCUCAAUUUUUAAUCUUAAAUGUACAUCUUAAAUGUACCCAUUCUCAAAUAUAUCAAUUUGUUAUAUGUAAAAUGUACCCUUUUUUAAUAUAAAAUCCAUUCAAAAUUUUUAAUCCAUGUUUAAACUUAUAUGGGUACAUUCUUUUUCGUUGAUUUGAGAAUGUAUCCAUGUUUUGGUACAAUAAAUUUUUUGUUAAUUUUGGUUAAUGUACCCAUACAUAUAUGUACACACACACACACACACACACACACAAUAUAAUAGAGAGUAUAAUUUAUAUUUUAUUAUUUUUAAUCCCAUAAAUGAUGGGUUUUAUUUAAAAUCUCAUUAAUAUAAACAAUUAUAAAUUUCAAUUUUUAAUUUUUAAUUUAAAAAAUAUAGUAACUUACAUUAUUACAUUAAUGUCAGGGACCUCAAUAAAAAACUAAAAACUAACAAGGUUUCAAUCAAAGAAUAUUGAUAGCUAGGGACCACAUCCAAAGUGUCCCUUAAUUAAAGGGUAAAUUACAUAGUAACCCCUCAGGUUUGAUGUCUAUUACAACCCCAUACAACAUCUUUAAAACAUUUCACUUUCAUACCUCAAGUACUAUUUUAUUUCAAUAUAAUACAUCUGUUAGAUUUUCCAUCCAUUAAUCCGUUAAAUGCUGACAUGGAUACCACAUUUGUGCCACGUGGCUGCCAAAUGCGUGUCAUGUGGCAAAAAUAAUAAUUUUUAAAUUUAAAAAAAAAUGAAUCUUCAACCCAAAAAAAAAAAAAAAAAAAAAACCCCAAACCCAGAUCCCAUCAACCCCCCCCAAACGAUUAUCCCUUCCCCAUAUCCCCCAUCCCACCCCCCAACCCCCCCUCUGCGACCAACCUUACCAUAGCGCCCCCCAACCUCGCGACCCACCUCACUCAAGGCCCUAAUCCACACUACCUACAACCCAGAAACGAAAAAAAAAAACAAAAAACAAAAAACUCAUCUCCCUUUCCCUGCAACCCAAAUCCCAUCUUCCCUAAUGGGUAUGGAUUUAAGAAGUGGGGUGUGUAGAGGAGGGAAGAGGGUGGGUGCGGAGGAUGGGUAUGGUGGGUUGCAAGGAAGGGGGGUCGGGUAAGAUGAAGAUGGGUUUUUUUUUUCUCUCUCUCUUCUUCUUCUUCUGGGUUGCAAGUUGUAGGUUGGGGUUUUUUUUUGGGGGGGGGGGGGAGGGAGGGAGGGAAGACGACGUGGGGUUUGGUUUUUUUUUUUUAAUUUAUUUAGAAGAUUUAGGUUUUUUGAAAAAAAAAAAAAAAUUCCACGUGGCACAAAUGUGGCAGCCACGUCAGCAUUUAACAGAUUAAUAGAUGGAAAAUCUAACGGAUGUAUUAUAUUGAAAUAAAAUAGUACUUGAGGUUAGAAAGUGAAAUGUGUUGAUGCACAAAACCGAAGGUCUUUGAACAACGUAAAUCCGAUCGUGAAUAUGCAAGUAAUGUAAAUAACACAAGAUGUAUCGUGGUUCACUCCAAUGUUUGGGCUACGUCCACACUGAUUAUUGUAUUUCUCUGAGAGGUGAGGGGGAGAGCUUUGAGAAAGCUUAGAGCUUAGGGGAUGUGAGAAGGCUUAAGAAUUGGCCUCCCUUAUUUGUGAGGGUGAUGAGUCCUUUUAUAGAAUAAGGGAUCCUCACUUAUUACAUAUUUGCCCAUUCCUUUAUUACAUAAUUACAUUUAAGUCCCCUGAGUACUUGUACAAGGUCUAAAUACGGAGGCCCUAAGUAUGGUACAAACAGUAGUCCCCCAAGUCUUCAGUCAAGAGAGUCUUUUGGCUAGAGACUUGAAAUUCUGUCCAUGUGUGAGCCGAAAUAACUAGAUGUCGUCUAGAACUGAUAUUUGAUAUGCGGCAGUGCCCAUUUUGAAAUAAUGCUCAACUAGAAGUAGCACAUGCUGCGAGGCUGCUCUGCUUGUGUUGCCUUGGUUGGCUCGACUUGUGGCGUUGAAGGUGAGAGAGUCCCUUUUAUAGAAUAAGGGCUCGCUCCUCAUUACAAAGAUGAUGGGUUAGUUGGUGCUUGCGGUGAGGCGGAUGCUCAGCUGGCGGCGAUGCUCUCUAAUGAUAGUGAGGGAGUCCAUUUUAUAGAAUAAGGGAUCGCUCCUCAAUACAUAAAUAAUAGGUGCUCUCUAAUGAAAGUAAGGGAGUCCCUUUUAUAGAAUAAGGGCUCACUCUUCAAUACAUAAAUAAUGGGCUAAGUCCCCUAAGUAUUUUUUAUGAGGCCUAAUUGAGGCCCAAUAUAUGGUACAUAAUGUAGUCCCCCAAGUCUUCGGUCAAUAGAGUCUGUUGGCUGGAGACUUCAAAUUGAAUCCAUGUAUGGGCCGAAGUGGCGGUUGUUCGGAAGCGGUAUUUGUAUACCCUGCACUGAAGCUUUAUAGGUGAAGCUUUGCAAGUGAAGCUUUGAAGCUGGAGCUCAGUAAAUGAAGCUUUUGAAGCUAGAGCUUUUGUAAAUGAAACUUUUGAAGCUGGAGCUCUAUAAAGGAAGCUUUUGUAAAUGAAGCUUUUGAAGCUGAUUCACAUGAGUGAUGCUCAUGAAUGUUUAUGUUGAUUGAUAUGAGUGAUGCUUAUGGAUGUUGACAUGAGUGAUGCUCAUGGAUGUUGACGUGAUGCUCAUGAAUGUUAACAUGAGUGAUGCUCAUGAAUGUUUAUGUAUGAUUGAUAUGAGUAAUGUUCAUGAAUGUUUAUGUAUGAUUGACAUGAGUAAUGCUCAUGUAUAAUUUGAAGUACUGGGCAUACUUUUGAUUACCUGGUUGGCGAUAAUAGCGGCAGGGUGCCGAAUAAUUUUUUGUAGUACUGGGCGUACUUUUGGUCACCUGGUUGGUGAUAAUAGCAGCAGGGUGCCGAAUAAUUUUUUGUAAUACUGGUCGUCCUUUUGGUCACCUGGUUGGUGCUAUUUUGAGCUUAUGGGCCUUCGCCCUCUACACAACAUUCCAGCCUAUUUAUUUUGGGCUUUACCGUUUUUUUUAAUUACCCUAUGAUGGGGUUUAUACAGAUGUCUCCGAAAGAUAUGAAAAAUAAAUUACAUCAUUCAAAAAUAAAUCCGACCCUCUGCUCAAUGGGUCACGCCAAUAAUUCUUUUUUUUUAUGCAUGCCAUCACCACCGCAAUUAUGUCUGCUUCUUUUUAUCUUCUUUUGCUUUCUGCUUUUGCUUUUACUUUAUCUUUCUCUUUUGGCAUAUGGCAGACAACGCCAAAACGGAAUAAUGAAUUAUUAUGAGAACAUGAAUCUUAUCUUUUGCCUGGUUUUCCACUAGUGCUCGUGGUAUUCUCAGGAGAUUGGAUCUGGGGGUAGGCGACUACCCCAGCACCUUGCCCUGAUACGUAAUAGCCUGAUGUCCCACUGCCAUCUCCAUACUGGAAGGUGUACGAACAAUGGUUAUUCUGUGUGGAACAAAUAGAAUCCGAUUGAGAUUCAAGACUGCACCUUCGAUCUGAGCAAGAAAUGAAUUGUGACGUUGAUGAACUUCUAGGAGGAGAAGCAGAGGAUCUUUGACUAUGAUGAUCUUUGAAUUCCAGAUGAAACUGAAUAAAAUGCAGGUUGUGGAGCUUGAUGUGGGCCCAGAUCUGCUUGACAGCUUUGGGGCGGGAGGAUUCCUUGACACUGAGGAAGAUUCCCAGAGCUGGAGGGAUGAGAAUCGACUUCAUAAUCCCGAUGGUGGGUUUGUGCUUGGUCGAAAGAUCAUUUCUGGCAGGGGAAAACAUGUACCAUACCUAUUGCAAAUCUUGCAAAUUCUCUGCUUCUCCAUGGAAGAUGAAGAGCAUCGAAUCUCUGUUUUCUCUCUCUCUCUCUAAAACGUUUUCGUUAUAGAGUGCCCCAAUAGAAGUGGACGGGCAGUGAGCAUGCCAUUUAGUGCCUCCUCCAAGACAGUAACUGAUACGGUGGUCUUUAUUGGCACUCCAAGUUUACUAAAAAGGGCAGCAAAAAUAGUAUUUACAGCACCCAAACUUGAAAGAUCUAGCUCCAACUAGUGGCUUUCUGUUUCAACAGCCUGAAAGCCGGCAGUGUCAUACCGACGCCGUUUGUCUGGAUCAAAUAAUAUAUUAUAAGAAAACAUGACCUUCUUGAAGAUAUCAGCUGUUUUAGAGUCAUUAGCAUUUUUGUCAGGAUGGUACUUGAGAGCCAUUUUCCGGUAAGCACUUUUGAUUUCCUGGUUGGUGGAAUUCCUAUUGAGGCCGAGGACCGCAUAAGGGUUUUGUCGGAGCUGCUUCUUAGCUUCUUGCUUCUCCGAUUUUGAUCGGCUGCCCUGCAUUUUUGAAAUUGACGGUCAAUUUCUUCACAAAACCCUAGAAAUUGCCUCUCGAUUACCUCCGAAACACAUAAUUCACGACUCUUGGUUGAAAUUUUUUUUUUUCAUUUCAAAGAAGUGGCGGAGGUAAAUCAGUUGUCACAUAGCACCGGAGCAUGAGGAAAACCUAGAAAACCAAGAGGCAGAGAGACUCCAUGCACAUCUAACCUGGAACCUUGCAGGAGAGAGCAGAGAGAAAGAGACAAGAAAGAUUGAGGGAGAAGCGAUCUUGGUGCAUCGUCUGUGAUUCCUUGGUGAUUUGCUCGAUCGGGACUCUGAAUUCGUGCAAGUCAUUGCUGUUAAGCAAGAAUCGCGAGGAGUCGGAGAGCUUGGAAAUCGAGAAGGAGAGAGGGCCUUUAGUCAGGGCUUGGAGGGUGUCGGACUCCGUCGGCCAAGAUUGGUGCACGGUCACGGCGUCUGGGCCCAUGGCGGUUGUGUAAAUGGGGGAGGUUCUAGGAGUCCAAGAAAGAAGAAGAAGCAGCGACCAUAGAUCUGGGAGUCCAUGGCGCUUGAAAGAUACGGCGAACAAGUCGGACUUGCUGCUGGGCAGCUGGCGGUGAUAAUGUUGGUGCAUGGGUUUUGGAGUGGGAGUGUUUGGAAUGGGUUUUUUGUUUAGUUUCUAUGUGUUUUUUCACAGAGAGAGAGAGAGAGAAGUGAUGGUGUUUAAGGGAUGAGUUUUGGAGCUUAGUGAAUGCUUUUUCUGGAAAAGCCCAGUGAGGUUUGUGGGUUUUUGCAGAUUUUGCAGAUUCGCGGUGGAGGUGAAAGAAUGAAAGAGAACCGACACAACUUUUCGUAUUGAUUCCCACAUACGGCGCCAAAUGUUGAUGCACAAAACCGGAGGUCUUGGAACAACGCAAAUCCGACCGUGAAUCUGCAAGUAAUGUAAAUAACACAAGAUGUAUCGUGGUUCACCCCAAUGUUUAGGCUAUGUCCACACUGAUUAUUGUAUUUCUCUGAGAGGUGAGGGAGAGCUUUGAGAGAGCUUAGAGCUUAGGGGAUGUGAGAAGGCUUAGGAAUUGGCCUCCCUUAUUUGUGAGGGUGAGAAGUCCUUUUAUAGAAUAAGGGUUCCUCACUUAUUACAUAUUUGCCCAUUCCUUUAUUACAUAAUUACAUUUAAGUCCCCCGAGUAUUUGUACGAGGUCUAAAUACGGAGGCCCUAAGUAUGGUACAAACAAAAUGUUUUAAAGAUGUUGUAUGGGGUUGUAAUAGACCUCAAACUUGAGGGGUUACUAUGUAAUUUACCCUUAAUUAAAAUAAGGGCAAAUGAAGAGGAUGGUUGAACUUGUUAAGUUUCUUAAGUGUGUCUAAUUUAAGUGUGUUGUUAAUAAACAUUUAUUAUGGAGGCAAAGAGAGGGAAGGUGCGGCAUAGAAAGAGAAGAGAGAGAUAUGUAAUUGUGAGUUGUGUUUUAUUCCAUCCCAUUGUGCAUUUAUUUAUAUUAGUUGGGAAAGUUAAUUCUUUAACCUUUUAGGAUUACAACUCUAAUAGGAAAAUAUAUAAUCUAAAAGAUAUGGUAGAAUCCCAUAAGAAUAUCCUAGAUAUGUUAGGAUUUACACAAUCAUAUUCCUAUUCCAAUAGGACUGCAAAACAUUUGUAUUUUUUUAUAAUUUUUUUGAUAAUUUGUUGGCAUUUUCAAUUUUUGUUAACAUUGAAAAUAUAACGGUUCAGAUGAAAAACCUUUGGAAAUCCAACAUUGAAAAUAUAACAGUUUGACGUUGGGCUGUGGUGAAGGAGGCUGGGCUGUCACGUGGGUGGGGCCCUCCCUCUCCCACUUGGUGAUUCAAAGGGCGCAGGCCCGUGCAACAAUUGAGGCAGCCCAUAGAGAUCCUGCGUUUCACCCAUUUGCCAUUUUUUCCACCGCUGGAGCACCAAAAUUCGGUCCAAAGGCAGGGGUUCCAAUUGCAUGGGCAAUUUGGUUUCCGCUGGAGGUGCUCUUUGUCGACUUUGUUUAUUCUUUCUUUUUAGCUUUGCAGUAAUAUUGAAGUAAUCACUCCAAUUGUAUCCGAACUUUUGUUGUCCAUCAAUUUGUAUCAAAACUAUUGGUUAAUUUACAUAUUCAGACUAACCUUCUCAUUAUUUUUAGUAUUUUUAUCAUAAAUAAUAUCUAAAAUAAUCACAUUUUAUUCAACAACCACUCAAUUAAAAAUUAAUUAAUGUUGUUUCUAAACCAUUACAUCGAGCUUUUGUAAAUACACAUCAAUAUUGCAGCGAUCCGAGGCAUUGUUUUCUACGCCUUGGAUUUGGCGAAUUGGAAAAGAGAAGAGUUACGAGUAAAAGUCCCUCACAUUAAGAGGGCUCCUCCUCGGGGAGAUGAAGAUGAUGAUCUUUUGUUUUUGUUUCUUAAUGAUUAAUCCACGCAGCAACAUAUAAUUAGAUUGUUGGGAUCUACUCAAGUUCCAUAUCACGCACUAAUAUAAAGUUUGACAAACGAAACGAAAUAUGUGCUCUCGAAAGCAAAAUGAGGGCACUGCUCCAAGAACAGGAAGGGCUCCUUGUCGAGGUUGCCAUCCGCCAUGAGGGAAAACCGGAAGAAGUUAGACAACAAUGAUGACAUCGAUUUGCAACACCCAUAUUGGGACAUCAAACUGUGAAAUAAAUACUCAAAACUCCUGGAAAGUCCUCGGGACAACAAACUUUUAUCUCCUUCAAAUAUUUCAUUUUACCAAGUUUUAUGUUUGAAGGGAGGGAAAAAAAGAGAUGAGAGAAUCCUACUCCUUAUUCUUGAAUAUAUUCAGGAAUAACUAUUGAAUAAAGAGAGAAUGGAAGGGGAUCGAAAGAGGAGGGAAGAUAAUUCUAGUCCCAAACAUAAAAAGGACCACAACUUUUAAAUUAUCAGCACGAUCAUCAUCUGAUUGAAGAGACCAUUCAUUGUGAAACAUAUCGUCAAUCAAUAUGUCUAUAUCUAUUUAUAUACCACAUUUUUGGAGUAGGAUUCUCCCCCCUCCUAUUACCAUCCCCUUCCAUCCCCUUCCAUCCCCUCCUUUCAUACUUUUUUUUUUCUUAUUCUCUAUAUAAAAAAUUCAAAACAAGAUGUAGAUGUGUCGUAAUCGCAAUAGUUUAAAUAAAAGGAGAUGGAAGGAGAGAUAAAUUACGAGGGGAGAGAAUCUUACUCCCACAUUUUUCUUCUUCAUAAACAAAAGAGAGGUUCUAGAUUACUUGACUCUAUGCCUCAUUUUUUUCAUCAAGUAUUUGUGCUAAACGGGUUCAGUUUCAAGUAUUUUAGUUUUUUGUCAAAAUUGAGAAAACUGAAAAUCAAACAUUAAUAUGCAAAAUUAAAAAAUCAACACAUAAUUAUUUAGAAAUCGCAAUAGAAAAGAAAAAAUGGAGGUUUGUGAUGAAAAAUCUUUUAUACUAAGUAAUUUAGUAUCCUUAUGCAUGAAGAUAAUCAAUUCGUUCGUUAUGGUCAGACUCUUUUUGAAUUUUUGAACACAUUCUCCAUAGGGCCUUCUUAUUUGUUCCUUCUCCGAGUUGGGGUUAUGGAAGAAGUAAAAGAAGGAACCAAGAAGAAAGUAUUGGCAACAACCGAUUUCGUUACGGGACAACUCUUGAUAUUCAUAUCGAUCUAUUAUGUACCUUUGCAUCUAGCAUUAGACAAUAACUGUCAUAGCUUUACCAUAUUUUUUUGUUUCAUUUCUUCUGAAACAAUAACACACACUUUUUUAUUAUGUGUCUAAUACUAGGAAUUCAAUACAUAAUCUUAGCAUUCAAUAGUUAUUCCUGAAUAAUUUCAUUUUUCAAUUGAUCAACCAUUUCAUUUUUCCAAGUUCAAUCAAUGUUAGUCACAUUAGUCAACAUUUAUAUAUUUUGAUGCAACAACAAUAUGUUAUUUGUAACAAGUGAUUUUGCUAGUUGGUUAAUUGGUCACAAGUUAAUGUUCGGUUCAGUUCAGCUUUUCUCUCGAUUUUUUGCGAUUCGGUUUUUUCGAUUCUCUUUAGAUUCGGUUCGAUUUUGUUUUUUUAUUUAUACUUAAUUUUUUUUAAUCUGAAAACACCAAGAACAACACAAGCAUACUCAAUCAAACAACUAUCCUUCUCCACAAAUCACAGUAAUAAUUACAUUCAUUUAGCUAAAAUGCAAAUAACUAACAAACUCACAAAAAUCGAAUAAAAACUACAAAUUGCUUACUCUUUUUCUUUGGGUUUCACUCGAAAAGUGUCGGUAAAAUUUAGGGUUUGCAAGAACGCAACCGAAAUCCAAAACGGAGGCUCUGUGGCUUGUGGGCUGCUAUUGAGUUCCAGUACGGAAAACCUUGCUUACUCUCUAUCACGGUACAAAGUAUCAGUACCUUUAGCACUGUAUUUGGUAGAACCAAAUUAAAAGCUAACAUCAAUAACAACUACCAGAGACAUAAGCUCUUAUCAAUGCUUUGGAAACAGUCAUGUAUCUCCAAGUGUAAUGAUAUAAUUAGUAAGAAAUUUAAAAGAAAAAUGGUGAUUUCAUAUAAAAUCAAUAAAAAGUUACAAUAUUGACAAUAUAUCAACAAUUUUUAUGGGGUAAAUUACAUAGGACCCCCUCAGGUUUGAGGUCUAUUACAACCCCAUACAACAUCUUUAAAAUAUUUCACUUUCAUACCUCACCUACUAUUUUAUUUCAAUAUAGUACCUCCAUUACAUUUUCCAUCAAUUGAUCCAUUAAGAGCUGAAUUGGUUGCCACAUUUGACACGCCCCGAUCCCGAUAUCCUCGGGAUAUCAGGAUGGUCACGUGCUGGCCGACACCCGAGGGUGACGAAAGCCAUUUAUUGAGUGCAAUUGCUGAAAAUAAAGGAUAGAUAAAACUUAUAAAUGUAAAAGAAUAAGGAAUAUGCAUUUAAGGAACGUGUUCAGAGCAUACAACUAACUAGAACACUAAAAGAAUGAUAUAAAAUGGAAUGAAUAAAAGAAUGAGUCUUACACCAAGAGGACUCGAAGAUGCCGAUGCGGAAGUACCUUGAUUGUCGGGAUUGUACGCCUCGAUCCUAAAUCCUGAAGGGGGCGCAAAACAAACAUGAGUGGACCAAGUUGAUAUAUAUAUAAUAAAACAGUUAUCAAUAUACUAACCCCCAGGUUUAUGAAAACAAAUAUAUAAUGAUGAACAUAGGUUUUCCGAAACCUAGCAUGAUGUGCAGUAUCUCAAAUCAUAACUCAUAUAUAAUAAUCACUAGUGAAUUGUCCGAUAACCUGCAGGCCCCAUGCCGGCUCCCCGUCUCUGAGCAGACAGUCAGAGGAAAAUACACUUCAGGCCCCAUGCCGGCUCCCCGUCCCUGUGCUAAAUAGCCAGAGGAAACACACUCCAGGCCCUAUGCCAACACCAAACCGUCGCCCGGGACGGACCGGAAUCUAUUCCUACGUCCCGUAGCGGAAAUGACCACUAGGUAAGUACAAAACCAUUGAACAUACAUAUAUUGAAAAACAACUUCAUAGUAUAAAGUCAUCCAUCAUCUAUACUAUAAAGAGGUGUUCGAAACAUGUUCUAAAUAUCAUAUCGUCAUCCAUCAGAUAUUCUAUAAGAACACGGGUUAUAGGAAAAAUAGUAAUAAUUCAAGGUAGCCUCAGUAAGCAUGUUAUCUCAAAACGUUUCAUAAAACGUAAUCAUUAAAUCAUGCAUUUCAUGUAUGCAUUUCUACUAUUAAAACAUGCUUUUGAAGGGGUCCACUCACAGUACUUAGCCGCCGAAGAGCCACGCAAACUAACGUCACCAAUAUUGCCCCUAAGCACAUAAAUGGUCCAAUUAAUAAAACUAUAUAAUAGCAAUUGGAUUUGGGAAAACGGACGUUGGAAACGGAUUCAGAACGUCGAAUUACCCUAAGAAGGGUCCCGGACGAAAACCCGAAAAGUCAACUCUAAAGUCAAUGUUGACCGGAGGUCAACGGUCAAAUUAGGUCUAACGGGUUUUAGGCUUGAAAUCCGGAUUAGGGUUUAGGUUAAAUAGGAUUAGGAUUUAUUGGGUUUUGGAAUUCUAAGGUUUUUGGGUUAAAAGGGUUUAGGGUGAAAAUGGGUGGUUUGGGCUUAAUCCCAAACUCACACACAACACACACACACACUACACAAACCCUAAAACACACACACACACACGGGCUGCACUAGGGCAGCCCUCACAACACUUCACAAAGGCCCUAAGGCCUUAUUAAAGGACAGGGCUUUAAGCCCUUUAAAGGAUACUGGCCCAAGGCCCGUCAAAAUAAGGCCCGAGGCCUUUGGGUUUUAAAAAGAACAAGAACAAAUUUAAAAGAAAAGGGGCUGGGGUCUACUGGGCUAAGAUAUAACGGGCUUAAGGCCCGUGGGGUUUUCUAAAGGGCCUGAGAGGCCUGGGUUUGUCGAAGGAGAAGGCCGGAAUUUCGGCCGGAAAACCACCCAACUUUAAAUGGCCAUAACUUUGUCAAUACUCAACGAAAUCAAGCAAGACAAAAAUGAAAGUUGUAGCCCUUGAAGCGACGAAGAGAAUGGUUCCUCACACGACGUCUAACUCGCCGUGGUUUGGCCGGAAAAUGCCUCGAAAUCCGUCGGACUCGCCGGAAACUGGGUAAGAUUCAAAUGAGUAUAACUUCUUCAAUACUCAACGAAAUUAAGUGAAACAAAAAGGAAAGUUGUAUUACUCGACGAGACGAAGAGAUUGAUACCUUACACGCCGGCCAACUCGCUGUGGUUUGGCCGGAAAUGGCCUCGAAAGGGGCGGUGCUCGCCGGAGCUUACUCCGUGCCGUCGAACUCGCAGGGUAGGGUCCGGGGUUCGUUGCAAGCCUCUCUUCGAUGGUGACUCGGUCCUAGUGAGUCCAGGGGAAGAGAGAGAUGCGAAAGGUUGAGGGAGAGAGAGACGGGAGAGCUGAGAAAGAGAGAGCUACGGGAGGGAGAAACGAAGAAGAAGAAGAGAGAGAUCAGAAAACAUAAAAAAAAUAAACAAGGUGGGCCCCACGGGCUCACCAAUUAAGGCUUUAAAACAAUUUUAAAAUAUAAAAGAGGGUUGGGGUGUUUCAACAUUUGUACCACGUGGCAAAAAAAAAACCUAAAUCUUCUAUACAAAAAAACUAAAAAAACCAAAAAAAGCAAAAUCGAACACUCCACCCCGCAAAAAUCCUAGCAUCUUCCUUUUAUUCCCCACAACCCCAAAUUCCCCCCCAAAACCCCUAAAACCCAAACCCUAAUUCCUCCCCCACAUGAAGAAAAUCCCAGUCCAAUUCAAUCCCAAUUACCUCAAAUCCCACCAUAGAAACCCUAAAUUUUGGUUCCUCAAUCCCUAGAUUUCCCACGCCUCUGUUGCCUACACCUUAUCAAUCUUUAGCUUUCUCCCUCAUCCCCUCCAUGAACGACACUUUCUCUCAUCCGCUGUUCCCCAGCAACGGCACCGAUACCUACGAGGCCUGGUACGGCAACAUCCAGUACCUUCUCAACAUCUCCGCCAUCGGCUCAUUCUUAUGUGUCUUCUUUUUCACCUUGGUCAAGCUUUGAAGCGAUCGCCGCCGCAUGCCCGGCUCGUCCUCCCUCGUUGCUAAGCUCUUCGCAGUGUGGUAUGCUACCUGUCGAGAGAUUAUGCUCCCAUGUGGCGCUGAGGCCAUAAUACUCACGCACCCAUCUACACACCCACACCACCACUACCGUGGACUCUCUCUCACUCUCCCUCGUCUUUGUAGAGCUAGGUGAAGCCUAGAAACCGAGAACUAGCUCCAGCAAACCCCGUGAGUUUCGAGCCAGAUCCCUGCCGACUCCGACCAUCCCAUGACCAAUCUAAGGUACAAAACAUUUCCCCUUGACUCUAUGCUCUUUUUCGUAUGUAGAUCGUAGGGAAAAGCCCACAGAAUGAGAGAGAAUAGUGACCUGAGAGAGUCCACGGUGAUGGUGGUGUGUAGAUGAGUGCGUGCGUGGGUGUACUGUCGGGGAUAGAGUCUGAGAGAGAUAGAGAGUGAAAGAGUCUGAGAGAAGAGUGACUUGCGAGAGUGAGAGAUUCGAGAGAGACUCGGGAAAAGAUUUAUGGGUUUGGGUUUUUCUGGUUUUUUAUUUUUAUAAUAAUAGGGUUAAUAUUAUAAUAUUUUUAAUGUAUAAAAAUUUCUUUUUUGCCACGUGGCAGCCACAUCAGCACAAAUGUGGUAGUUGUAGAUGCAAAUUUCUUCCUCUUGAUCUUGGACAAUUUUGCACCUACAAAACAAUUAACACCUUAGGUUAAGGCCAAAAGCCUCACACACCCACAAUGAAUGGGGGGCUUUGGCCGAAGAACCUCUGUUGCCAAAGUUAGAAUUUAGAGAGAAAGAGUCUUUACAGAAUUUUGGGAUUUUUGCCAAAGUGUUGGAAUGGCUUUCUGGUGAGAACGGGAUCACUUUUAUAAGGAUAGGAAGUGGUCGGCCUAGCUAGGGUUUUUGGGUUUAAUUUAGGUUUAAUUCUUCAAUUUAUUUGGCUAAUUAAACCCUAAAGAAUAAAUUGGUGGUUACAAAAUUGAUUAUUUGUAUAAAUGGGGUAAUAAAAUGGAGAAAAGUGAAAAAGGUUAGGAAAAGGGAGGUAGCUAGCUUCUUAGUAGUUUUAGGUGUGAGUGGGUGUUUUAAUUGAUAAUUAAGGGAUUGAUUAGGUAAUUAAUCCCUUAAUUAAACAAUUUUUAGGGAAUAUGAAAGGAAAUUAUUAUUUAGCUAAUUGAUUAGCUAAAUAAUGGAAUACAAAAUAUAUAGAAUAAAUUAGGCUUUAGGUAUUACCUUAUAGAAAUGAUUUGAUGAAAUAGGCUUUAAAUUGUUAACUAUUUUGGGCACUUUUGACUUGGUUGAGGAUGAUUGUCUGCCGCUCGCACGUAGGAAUCUCGAUAUGCCUUAAGGGUAUUUUUGUCCUCUUUUACCCAAAAAUCCACGUGUCGCCUUGUGAUUAUUUUUGGCUCCACAAAUGCCCCCACACCUGUUGGGCUGCUCGCAGAAAAUGGCAGCAGGUGUAGAGAUCAUCUUGCUUUAGGAAACGUAGGACUACUUCCUCUUUAGAUGUAGAUUCUCUCUUUAAUAGGAAAUUAGGUUCUUCUAGGAAAGGGAAAUAAAUUUCUGUUAAAGCCUAUUUAAGUCUACCUUAAGUGGGUUAUUAAAUCAACUUUGGAGAGCGAUUUCUUAUACCCUACAAGAGAGAGGGAGCUUAGAGAAUAUUUGUUCCCCCUCUUCUAGCAAUCUUCUACAUCUUUCCCGUGCAAAGGAUCGUCUUUCGUUGAUUUCUUCGUCUUCUCCGUGCCGCACCGAUGUAAGAAAAAUUUAAUUUUUUGCUUAUCUUCUUCUUGGAUAGUACUAUUACAGGGCAACCGUUAAGGUAGUGCGGCACGUCUACUGGCAGGGGCUAGGAGUUGGCUCGGCAUCGGUCGAUGAGGCAUUAUGGCAGGGGCCACUGCUUAGGCUGUUUGGCUUGGCUAGAGCCAAUGGCAGCUUGUGCGGCUGGGGUCGCGGAUUGUGGCGUUGGGGCGCAAUGCUAGGCGAGCCACAUGGUUAAUGUCCUUUAGGCUCUUAGACCUUACUCGGGCCAGGCUAGCGACUGAAAGAAAUGAGGAGGUCGUGGGCCUCAUGGGUUGUUGGAAUGUUGGGCAUGCAGGCCUCCUGUCUGCUAGAAUGCUAGGUUGAGCUCCUCUGCUGAGUACCGUGAAUGGCGUUGGCUGCUUAGUUCUUUUUACAGAGAGAAAGGUGGGCUGCUCCCGAAAGAGGAAGUAAAGAGGAUCAAGGUGGAUGCAUUGGCUCGUCUAAUCGCUGUCGUGGAACCUCCUAUGAAUGAAGAUGGAAAUAAGAGAUCUUCCCUGCCUACUCAAGAGAUGCCGAUCGAGAAAAAUUGAAGACUUUCUCCACUGCUGCUCAUGAUGAUUUGUCUGCUGUCGAUAGGCCUGUGAUUGGCAUGACUUCUUCCAAUGGGAAGAAAAAUGAGGCUGCUAGAUCUGAUCAUGUGGUGCCUUCCAUGUUGAGAAUUGCUAGUACAAUUGUUGAUAAGAUUGCUUAGCGCAAAGGUUUUAUCAUGCCCCCAGUACCGAAGUCUGUACCAGGACUUUCGUUUGGAGCAAAGUCUGGUUCACCUUUGGAGAUACUUGCUAUUAUGAAAAGUGGUAAGGUGGACUCUGCUGCUAAAGUGGCGUCAAGGCCCACUCCCUUUGUUGCUGAGACUGAUUCGCCUGCUAGGAAGGAAGAUACUACUUGUAUGGGCAGCUGUGAGAAAUCCACUAAACUUGCUUCUGGGGAGGCUGCUGAGAUCAUUGUGCUUUUGAAACUAUAUCUGCUUGAAGACAUGGACGCUUGUGCCAAGUUUGUUGAUGGCGGUAGAAAGGUUGUUUACCUAAGUUCCUUUGCGAAACAUACGACCCAAUAUAAAAUGACUGCUCUGCUUACUAGGAUGCAUAAAUAGCAAGGUUGUCAAGGAGGUGGCGAAGAUUAUGGCAGCUAAAGCUUAUUCCUCAGUCGAGGAGAUCAAAAGGUUGAAUUAUGAGCUUGUUGCUUUGAAAGAAAUGGAAGAACUGCAACACGUUCGUGUUAGUCUGUUUGAGAAGAAUGAGCAGCUAAACGGUAAGAAUGAUGGGCUUGAGGUUUCUCUAUUUUUCCGGAAGACUUGCUUACUUUUACUUUUGAGGCUUCCAUUGGUGAAGUAGUUGGAGACGUUAGUGCCCAGGCUUAGGCAACCGGGGGUGAAGCACCGGAUGAUGCCGCUGCUAAGAACGUUACGGCUGCUGAAGGUGUGGAGACCAAGUAGUCGUGGGAUGUCCAAGCUGCUGUAGUGUAGUAUUUUAGGUAGCUUUUAUGAUUUUCUUUGUUUUUCCUUGUAGCUCUUGUUUUGCUUGAACUUCUUCGGCCUUUGCUAGUUGUAUAAACAUGUUUUCCUUCGCUUUUCUUCAUCUUCGCUUCUUUUGUUCAUGCCCUAACCUUUAGACUUGAUAGACCAAUGGCAGGCAUGCUACUUUUUUAUAAGCAGACAAGCUCGCGUAGCCUAUGCAGCCGUAAAUGUUGGUGUAGAACUUUGCAAAGUUGUUAGCCAUUAGGUUGGUAACCAGAUACCUUACUUACAGAAGUAGACAAGUCCGCAUAACCACUAGGCUAUUAACCUUGACUUUCUCCAAUUCUGUAGGUUGCGUAGCAAGUAUCACAACACUUUAGGAAUUGGUAUAGGUUGCUCCGCACUUGGCAGAGGUGAAGCCUAUCGACUACGUAGCAUGUCGGCAGUGGAUAAAACUUCCAUAUAUGCGCGCUAGCUUGUUUAACCUUUCACAAGAAUGUGCGGUUGUAUAAGUCUAGCACGGUUUUACUGCUUGAAGGGCAAGCCGUAGGCAGUCUUCCGGAAUCCGUAGGCUACCUUAAUGUACUCGGUAGCAGCUUUAGGGUUCCAGGGCAGCCGUCUAUAGAGCGUACUGCGUAAUGUGCCCCAUCCGUCUCUAGCUCCCGGUUCCCCACAGAUUAGACCAAGAGACCCAAAAUCCUUCAGUUAGUUAAGCCUUGAAAAAGACCAUUGUGGCUACUUCUAGGAAUCCCGGCUCAAGCCAUCGUACAUCUAGUUAUACUAGGGUAGCCAGGCUCAUCAGCGUCUGGAUAUUCGGAGUGUAAAGUUUAUCCUCCCGUCUUAGAGAGCUGACCCAUAUGAGUGUCGGGGAAUUGGUUUACCCUCUCACACUAGAGAGUAAUUAAUUUACCCUCUCGCACUGGAGAGCAAUUAGUUUACCCUCUCGCACUGGAGAGCAUGGUUGGUCCAUCGGGGGGCGCAAUUCCUGCGAUGAGUCCCUAAGAAGGGCGCAGUCUUCUUUUGAAGUGCAGGAAUGAUUAGUUGUUAUAAGCAUGUGAUCGAGUCAAGUUGUGAUUACUUCUAAAUUCCUCAUUGAAAAACGAGUGAAACGAACGAGAACUUAGCCGUAAGGUAGGAACUGCAUAACAACUGGAUAGUCCUCAACUUGUGUGGUGGUACCCAUCGAGCUUCUUGAGUCUUCGGGCUUUGAUGUAGUGGGAGGUUACACAUGGCACCUUUUCAGAUUGUAGGCGCUCUACUGCUUUUCGAACUUUUUUUUUGUUGUGUAAUUGCUCUUGCUGCCUACUCGGCUAAUCUUAUACAGACUUUCUCGGAUGAGAUUCAUCUUUUUGGAGCUUCUCUGCUGGCAGUGAUGAAGGCUUUUCUUAGGACUAGAUCUCUGGGCUGGAACUGCCAGAUUUUGGCCUUUUUGUUGUGGCUGGAAAAGAACCACUGCUGGUAAGUUGUAAUGCAGAUGAUAGUCUGCUCGCACUUCUCCUCUGCCAAAUUUAAGCUUGUGGCCAUCUCCUUUCGGUUGCUCGUCUUUUGGUGUUGCGAUGUGCCCAUAGACAUCCAGGGAGUUUGUCUGGCCAUUUUCUUUUCUUAUUGGUAGGGGAUUUCUUGUGGCAGUCGAGGAUCAUCUUAGUGGAUGUUUUGGCCAGCCUAUUGCCUUGAGGAUAUCUUGGCGUAGACAUGUGCUGCUUGAUGCCAUAUUUUUAGAAGAAUUUCGCCAAAUCUUUGCCCACGAAUUACGGGCCGUUGUUGGUGACGAUGGAUUAAGGUAUGCCAAAUCGGCAAAUGAUGCUCUUUCAUAUGAAGCGCUCUAUGUCCGUUUGAAUUGUGAUCGUCAUGGGCUCUGCUUCUACCUAUUUGGUGAAAUAGUUGGUUGCCACGAUCAUCAUGCAUUUGCCCUUAGUAGUCUGGCUGGUGAUUAGCUGGGAAUCAGAAUGAAUUGAAAGCUUUUUCACCACCAAGUCUUUUGUCACUCGAAGGCCUGCUAGUGGGGCUUUGUACUCUGCUUCGUUGUUAGGUGCUUUGACGCUUAGAGUGAUCGCUUACUCGAGCAUUGAACCGUCUGGGGUGGCAAGAACCACGGUUACUUAUAAGCCUUUGUAGUUGGAUGCGCCGUCGACAUGCAAAUGCCAGAAAUUUCCAUUGAGGGAGUAGGUAUGGCUAAAGUGUGCUCGGCUACCUUCGAAGCGUCGUUGGGCCGCUUUGUUACAUUGUCAAGGCUAGGUUUGAAGGCGCGGUAGAGAGUCGUGGAGCUGGGGCCAUGUUACAUGUAGCAGGAGAUGCUCAACUUCCGGUAUUAGGCCACUCUAGAGCUGAAUAAUGGAGCAAAGGUCGGCUAGGGUCGUAUGACGCGCAGCAGAAGGUAGUGCUCGACUGCUAGUACAUGUUGCUCUUACGUAGAAUCUUCUGAGGCGACGAGGACAAAACUUGCUUUUAAGUGUUCCUUCUAGUGUUCGUCUGCCCUUGGCGUGUCUUUUGGGCUGAGUUGUUGCGUUCGUCAGAAAACUUUGCAUCUGCCAGGGUUUACGUCUUUAUCAUCACGGGUUUGGAUUAGGCGGAAUAGUGCGUCAUGAUGAUGACUGCGUACAUUUGAAGGUAAAACUUAAGCUUUUGGGUUACAACAACUAUCACCAAAGUUAGCUUUUGAAUUUUUAAUAGCAUCGAGGAGAGCUUUUGAACUAUAAAAUACAUGUAGUUGGGCCCCCAACUCUUCUCGCAUGACGGUACAGCUUAUUUCUACUUUAGAUACCGUCAAACAUGCGAAUAAGUCCUCUGCUGCUUCUAGGGAGGUGAUGUUGGGUACUUCUUCAAGCCCUUGAAUGUGCAUUGGCGAGCCUCAUCCCAAAGUGCAUGCUUCUCUGCCAAAGAAAAAGAGUCUACCAGAGUUAGAUAUUCUUUCAUGAUCAAUUUUCUAAAUAGCGGUGGUCUGCUGGAAGGCCUUUUUGGAAGGCUGCUCUAGCUAUUGAGUCGCUGCAUCCGACUAUCAUUGCCUUCUCUGUUUUGAAUCUCUUCACAUAGUCACGAAGUGACUCCUUUGGGUUCUUUUUUACGUCAAACAAAUGGUCGGACUUCUUUUUGAUCGAGCAAUAAGAUGAAUAUUCUUUGGUGAAAACCAAAGAAAGUUCGUAGAAAUUCUAGAUAGAUUGUGGCGGCAGGGUGUAGAACCAAUCUUGUGCCUCGCCUUCAUAGUGGUGGCGAAUAUCUUGCACAUGAGAUCAUCGUUGUUUCGAUAAAGGAUCAUUGUGCUUCGGUAGCGCUUUAAGUGUCUCUUCGGGUCUUCAUCCCCUUUGAAAGAUAUGAAAUGUUGCAUACUGAACUCGCAUGGAGGCUCUGCCAGCUCGAUCUCAUCCGUGAAGGGUGACCUGCUUAUGUUGGUCAUGUUCCGUCGUAGUGCCUCGUCGGUGACCUUGUUGCGUUAGAAAUCAUGCAAUCGCUUGAUUAAAAGUCUCUCUACUUCUUCCUGAAUUUUCAUUUGUUAGGGUAGCAGAGCUCUCGGCUGCCCCUAGCCAUAACUUACUGGUCUAGGAUGCUCUUCCAUGUGUUUGGCUCGUAUACCGUGGAUGCAGUGUAUGUGGUGCGGUCCUAGUAGGUGAGCGAGUUCUUCGCAGGCUGCUAGUUGAACUUGAGCUGGAUUGAGUGACUACUUCUCUCCGUCCGUCGUGCUGCCUACUCCAAUGUGAGGUGAAAGAUGCUCCUUGCAGGCUUAGCCACGAAUGAACACUUUACCUGGAAGGUUGCUCAUGUUGACUAUCAGAGUAUGACCCUAACCGUGAAUGUAUAUUCACCCGUGGGCUUAGUCGAGAGUGCACGCUCCUCCGCGCGCUAAGACGAGAGUAUACGUUAUCUCGGGAGCCCAAUUGGGAGUGUACACUGCCCGAACGCUCGGCUCGUGGCUGGUCGAGUGGCUGCUUGCCGAAACGCUGCGGGAAAGGUUCGUCUGCCCUUGUCCUACUUCGGGAUACCUUGUUUGGGGCACGUUGGAUUCUGGUGCAUUGCAAAAGUUGAUUCACCAAGGUUGUCUGUUGUGCAAGGGUGCUCGUAAACGCUACGACUUGUCGAGACAAGUGUUGUUCGUCAUUUGGAUUGGAAUAGCUUGGAAGGAAUGUGCCUUCUUGGGCAGUGGAAGGGUGGUAGACUCCGGGCUCGAGAUUUGAGUUGGGAAAUGUCAAAUCUACGAAAAAAUGUGGUGAGAAUGCCCCCGGCUCGAUGGUAGGUCCGGAUGGUUGAGAUAGUCUUGGGCCGACUUGGGCUGCUUGGAAAGCCACGGGAGCAGGCUGGGCCACGAGAGUGAGCUGCUCGGCAGGAGUAGGCUGGGCUACGAGAGUGGGCUGCUCGGCAGGAGCAAACUGCUUGGAGUGUGAUGCACAUGGGUGCGAGGCUUGGGCUCGGCUUGGUAACACAUUGAGUUCGGGUUUGGCUUGGAGUGACAUGACUUGGGCCGUGGCCUUGGUGUCGUGAGCCUUGGAUGGCACGGCUCGGGCAGUGGUAGCUGUGCCAUGGACCUCGCCGCGGGUAGUGGUGACCGUGAUGGCCACCGCGGUGGUUGCCAUGGUGGAGCCCCGUAGUGAUGGUGCCGCUCCUAUGAUCACAUUUAGCCUCGUGGAUCGUCGUGGUCCCAUUUCUUGAAUAUUAGAAUUUUCACUUAUGGAAUUUUCUAAAUUUCUAGCCAUUAUAUUUUUCUUAUACGUUUUAUCAAAGAACCUUUGCAAAUAAAAAAUUCUAAUAAUAAGAACGUAUGAAAAAAUAUUCAAAUGGACUAGAAAAUAGAGAAAAACCUUUUUAUGCGAGAGUCUUCUACGAGUAUAGAUCUCAACUCUCAAUGAAAGCACCAAUUUGUGGAUGCAAAUUUCUUCCUCCUUGAUCCUAGACAAUUUUGCACCUACAAAACAAUUAACACCUUAGGUUAAGGCCAAGAGCCUCACACGCCCACGAUGAAUGGGGGGGCUUUGGCCGAAGAACCUCUGAUGCCAAAGUUAGAAUUUAGAGAGAUAGAGUGUUCAGAGAAUUUUGAGAUUUUUGCCAAAGUGUUGGAAUGGAUUUUUGGUGAGAAUGGGAUCACUUUUAUAGGGAUAGGAAGUGGCCGGCCUAGCUAGGGUUUUUGGGUUUAAUUUAGGUUUAAUUAGUCAAUUUAUUUGGCUAAUUAAACCCUAAAGAAUAAAUUGGUGGUUACAAAAUUGAUUAUUUGUAUAAAUGGGGUAAUAAAAUGGAGAAAGGUGAAAAAGGUUAGGAAAAGGGAGGUGGCCGGCUUCUUAGUGGUUUUAGGUGUGAGUGGGUGUUUUAAUUGAUAAUUAAGGGAUUCAUUAGGUAAUUAAUCAAUUUUUAGGGAAUAUGAAAGGAAAAUAUUAUUUAGCUAAUUGAUUAGCUAAAUAAUGGAAUACAAAAUAUAUAGAACAAAUUAGGUAUUAGGAAUUACCUUAUAGAAAGGAUUUGAUGAAAUAAGCUUUAAAUUGUUACCUAUUUUGGGCACUUUUGACUUGGUUGAGGAUGAUUGUCUGCCGCUCACGCGUAGGAAUCUCGAUAUGCCUCAAGGGUAUUUUUGUUCUCUUUUACCCAAAAAUCCACGUGUCGCCUUGUGAUUAUUUUGGCUCCACAACAACCACGUCAGCAUUUAACAGACCAAUGGAUGGAAAAUCUAACGGAGGUAUUAUUUUGAAAUAAAAUAACAAGUGAGGUAUGAAAGUGAAAUGUUUUAAAGAUGUUGUAUGGGGUUGUAAUAGACCUCAAACUUGAGGGUCCUAUGUAAUUUACCUAUUUUUAUGUUAAUUAUGAAUAGGUCAAUCAUGUAGAACCAAAUUAAAAGCUAACAUCAAUAACAACUACCAGAGACAAAAGCUCUAAUCAAUGCUUCGGAAACAUAGUCUUGUAUCUCUAGGUGUAAUGAUAUAAUUUGUUGGAAACUUAAAAGAAAAUUGGUGAUUUUGUAUAUAAUCGAUAAAAAGUUAUAAUAGUGACAAUAUAUCAGUAAUAUUUAUGUUAAUUAGGAAUAGGUCAAUCAUGUAUUUAAUACUUACAUGCAUUUAAAAUAAACACCUUAUCAAUGUUUUUUUAACUGUGCUCAGUUUUUCUCCUUCGCUUUGGUUUUGUUCUAUUGGAUUUUUCAACUAUCAUUAAUUGUGAACAUAACUGAUCAUUGAGACACAAACAUCCAAGGGAGAGUACCGUGGAACAAAAUGUGGAUAUCUUUAUACAUUGUAUGGUAGUAAACCAUCAUAAACACCAUAAUAAUGUAGAAACGCUCUUGGGGUACCUUUGGAUGAUAACUCAUGUAUUUGUUGCCCUACGUAAAGAUGGCUAAUGAUAAUGGAAGUCUAAUUUUCUCAUCCCAAUCUCUCCUGUCUCUCUUGUUCUCUUUUCUCUAUAGUUUAUUUCCAACAAGUUGUGUUAUUUUUUUUUUUUAGUAUUGUUAAGCAACCAAUAGAUUUUAAUUAGCAGUCUUUGUUUUUUUCUUUUAUAUUUUUAAUCAAUUUCAGUUGCUUAUCCGUUCUAGCAAAUUGAGCUCUUUUACAGCAAUUUUUUUCUUUAAAUGAAAUUAUUAUUAUUAAAAGAGUGAGAAAAUUCGAAAUUAUUACAACAAUUUAAAAAAAAGAAGUUUCGAAUCAUAAACACAGAGGGAGUUUACAACAUUUUAAUUAAGAAAUUAGGCUUCAGCUCAACUCAUCUUUGCAACGUCGGUUCCACUUCACAUCAACAUGCAAUGUUUCAGAAGGUCACGCGGUUUUGGGGUUGUUGUGUACCAAUAAUAUUAUAUAUAUAUAAAUUAGGAUUGAAGGAUACACGCAUUUUGUAGAGCUUAUUUUGUUAUGUAUUUUAAUGAUUUAAAUGCUUACGUUUUUCUUCACUACAAAUGAGUGAAUUAAUGAUUUUAGAAUUUGUCUAAUUUUUUACAUUGAUUAUUUAUGAAUAUUGAAUUGAAAUAUAGACGAUUCAAAAAUCGUUGAUAUACAUUACAAAAUGAACUCCACAAAAUAAGCGUCAAAAUAUGUAUAUAAAAUGGACAGCGUGAAAGGCUUGGAAAUUGGAAUAGGUUUGAAAAUUGUGCUUUUUGUAGCAAAUUGUAGCAAAGUUUGCUUGGACUUUCACAACCGUAUAAAUUAUGCCGCAGCACUCUCUAUUUUCUCUCUCGCUCUAUAUCGUGGUCCCUCUCUCUCGCCGUCCUCGAUUGCUCGAACUCACUAUCCUUUAUUGCUCGAACUCACCGUCCUCAAUUGCUCGAACCCACUGUCCUUUAUUGCUCGAACUCACUGUCUCCAACUUCCUCUGUUUGGUUCCCGAUGAAGAUGGUAAAACAGUAGGGGCAAGAAAUUAUGACAAUGUUAGAUUUGCAUAUUAAUCUGGUAGGGCUACAAUUCUCCAAUCCACACCCCUUCCAUCUAUGCUAGUGUUUGUACCCAAUAUUAGAUAUCCGGUCUGUGCAAUCGAGAUCGUUGAAUGAGAAAAAUUCUAAGCCGUGGGAUCAAAUAUAAUGAUGUGGAUUAAAUAAGAAAAAUUUAAAUGUUUAUCUUGGUUGAAUUACCAUGAUAAUAUUGUGGAAUUAUCUUCUGCAUAACGGGAUAGCGAGAAAAGUCCAAGGGUGUAGGGAAGUUGUGUGGCUGACUACCGCUUUUUUUUAUGGUGUCAUUAGUAGAGUAAUAUCACACUUAACAUUUAUUUGUACCAUCUCUCUAAUAAAGAUAAAGACCAUCAAUGCAUAAAUAAUGAUACAAAUAUAUAAUAAGAGUAUCAUAUUUGUAACUAGAAUAGGAGAAGAAAGACUUCAAGAUGGGGUCAGCCAAAUAAUUAGCGUCAGGAUAAAAAUAUGAGUAAUGAUAUUUGUAAACAUCGAAAUUUCGGUAAAUAAAUGUUGACCGAUAAAUCAAAGUUUCAACGCUCAUGUAUUACAUAAAUUUUACACGUAGCGUAUGUCUAAACAAAAAAUCGAAAUAAGUUGGAAAAGUCAUCAAACAGGACACAUGUCAACACCUGGCAGAAACGACUUAUUUCAUCUGGAAUAUUAUAUUCAAAAUUAGGCAUUGGAAAAUUCUAUAAAUAGAAGCCAAUUUCAUUCAUUUGAAGGAACCAAAAUCAUUAGGCAAAAUUCUUGAAGCUCUGAAGCUCUGAAACUCCGAAACUCUCAAGCAUCCAGGUUCCCGAAGAAUCAAGAAAGCUCUCUUCGUUCUUCGUUCUUCGUUCAUCGUUCAUCCUAAGAUCAAGCUCCAACGGCCCUUUAGAUCAACAAUCAUCCACUAAUUCAAGAUCAAGCCCCGACGGCCCUUGAAGAAAGUGUUCUUCAUUCUUCGUUCAUCGUUCUUCCAAGAUCAAGCCCCAACGGCCCUUUGGAUUAACAAUCAUCCACCAAUUCAAGAUCAAGCCCCAACGGCCCUUGAAGAAAGUGUUCUUCGUUCUUCGUUCAUCGUUCUUCCAAGAUCAAGCCCCAACGGCCCUUUGGAUUAACAAUCAUCCACCAAUUCAAGAUCAAGCCCCAACGGCCCUUGAAGAAAGUGUUCUUCGUUCUUCGUUCAUCGUUCUUCCAAGAUCAAGCCCCGACGGCCCUUGGAUCAACAAUCCACCAAUUCAAGAUCAAGCCCCAAAGACCCUUGAAGAACUUCUACCAAUUCAAGAUCAAGCCCUGACGGCCCUUGAAGAAAGUGUUCAUUGUUCAUCAUCCGUUCAUCCCGAAGAAUCAAGAAAGCCUUAUUCGUUCUUCGUUCAUCGUUCUUCCAAGAUCAAGCCCCGACGGCCCUUGGGUCAACAUCAUCAACAAAUCCACACAUCCAACCGUUCUUCAAGAUCAAGCCCAAAAGCCCUUGAAGAUCCGUUCAUCACCGUUAUUCAAGAUCAAGCCUUAACGGCCCUUGAAGAAACACUCAUCCUCAAGAUCAAGCCCCAACGGCUCCUUGAAGAUCCGCUCAAAUCCACCUUCAAAGAUCAAGCCCACGGCCCCUUGAAGAAACAUCCAACAGUUCAUCCAAGAUCAAGCCUCGACGGCCCUUGGAUCAACGAAACAUCUACAAAUCAACACCUUACGGAGAUCGAAUCAGAUGAUCAAAUUAGAGAGAGAUUGUAACCCUAAAUCAUCAAAAUACAAAUAUUAUUUUGUGCACGUUGUUCUUAUCUCUUUCGUUUCAGGAAAUUUUCGUGUUCACAAUAUUCUUACCAUCUAAAUAUACUAUAAUUUUAUACCAUCUUAUGUGGCAAUUGAGAUGGACUUCCACAUAAGUUUUAAAAAAAUCUCAUGUCAGCUAAGGUGGAUAUUUACGAUUUUACGAUUUUACUCAAUGAUUUUUAUUAAUAAAAUAAUUAAAAAAUAAUAAUGAAACCUACUUGCUCCCGUUUUCAAGCCUCAUCGCUGGGCCUCCUCCCUCUUCGCUCUCCAAUUUCACCUUCCUUCACCAACGAUCGAUGGUGCUCGACCCCCUUCAUCAUUGCCAACUGGCCGAAUAUCUUGAUGGUGCUCCCAGUGAUUGUUUUGCUCUGCCACCAAAUCAAGUUUGCAAUUUUAAUGGUUUAUGCCUUCUGGCCAAGUGUUGGAUUUGAUAGGUUUUUAAUUCCAGCAACAUUGAACAAAAAUAUGAAAAGGAUUGGAUACGAUAUUUUCCUCUGUUCUACUGCUGAGGAUUUUCCGAAUAGAAGAAGAUUUGGAAGACAACCUCUUUUCUUUUUUCUUCAUGGACUUUUGGUUAGCACCAAAAUCUUUUCCUAAUCCUCUAUAGGAAUGAAAAUUUCAUUCCAUGUUAUAUCCCGAUGUUGUCCAAGGUUUUGGCUUGAAUUUUCAUUGGAAUUAUCAUAUGUUGGAUCAGAUCAGGUGGAGAGAUGAAACGUAUCUAACAAGGAAGUUGAACGGGUAGGGUUUGAGCAAAAAUAAACAGAAAUUCCACCUAGGUUGACACCUAAGCUUCCACAUCAUGUGGUAUACUAAAUGUGGUAUAAUAAGAUGGUAAGAAUAGCAUUAUUGAAUGGGUAAUGUUAAGAGAAAUUUUUAGUUGUGACGGGAACACGGAUGGUACACCAUGCGUUUUUAUGUAAAUGGUGGAAAAUUUUAAUUUUUAAAUUAUUAACCUUUUAGCACACAUAUCCCACCAUUUAUAUGAAAACACGUGAUGUAUCACCUCGUGUGAUAGUCACAUUGAAAAAUCUCUCGUAAUGUUAGGAAAACUAAAUUUAUAAACAAAAGUUACAAAUUAAAUGAUGGGUUACCAAUAAGAAUGAUUACGUUUAUCAAUGCUUAAAUAAUAAAUCAUUCAUCAACUUCCAGUCCUUUAGUUUUUAAAAUUUUGUCUAACAUUACCCUUUCAAAACUCAUGAAAAUAAUUUUCAAUUUUUUUAACUGAAAAGUGAAAGUUACUAAACAAGAUUUCAGUUUUUAGCUUUCAAAAAAAUAAAAACAAAAGCUAAAAAUAAAAUGGUUAUCAAACAUCCCUAGAAGUCAUUCUUAGUGAUAGUAAGGUCAUCUCCAACCGAAAGAUCCAGGGGGCUAGAGGGCCGAAAAUAGUCUGAAAACCAUUUCCAAUCAAAGGCCAUGCCAAAGGGGUCGUGGACCCCAUUAGACAAAAAAGGGCCAAAGGGCCAACUGGCUGGCCCCAGUUCCAACAAUAACUAGAUGACGUCAGUUAACCGUUAUUUUUGAAUUUUUUUUUUAACAAAUUUUAACUUUCUAAGCCAUUAAACAACAUUAAAUUAAGUAAAAAAGAAAAUUCCUAUAACUUCCUAAGUCAUUAAACAAUAUUAAAUUAAGUAACAUGAAACAACAUUAAACAAUAUUAAACAAAAUUAAACAAUAUUAAACAACAUUAAAUAACAUUUAACAACAUAAAAAUUAUACAACAUAAAAAAAAACAUUUAAGAACAUAAAAUUUAAAUGCCUACUUCAUGCUUCUUUUGGCCCAAAGAUGUGCAACAAGAUCCUAAUGUAGGUACUUGUUUGUGGCACGAGAGCGUAUCAUCCUAACCGUUAGAUUUGAUUUUUUUUUGUUUUCGGCCAAAUUUUUUUAAAUUUAAAAAUAAAUUAUGUUUGACCUUUUGGCCCUCGAUUGGAGAUAGUUUUUUUUGUGACAUGACUAUGUUUAGCCCUAUGACCCUUUGGCCCUCAGUUAGAGAUGGUAAGAAAUAUGACCCAACAAUGUUCAUUAAAAUAUUAAUUUCUUGAAGAGCCAGAGGGCUAAAACGAGCCAUCCUUCGGUUGGAGAUGGCCUAAGAAGAGACUAGAGAUAGAGAGAUUCCUAUACUUAGCUGUGAGAGUUUCCUAUAUAUGAUUUUCAUUAACAAGAUUGAACUGAUUACAUAGAGAAGAAGAUCAAGUAUGGUUAUUUUUAUUUGGGAGACUUUGGAUGUGGUCCUUAGUUAUGAAUAUUAUUUGAUUGAAAUCUUGUUGGUUUUUAAUUUUUUAUCAAGAUCCCUGAAAUUAAUGUGAUAAUUUAUUUCUAUGUAAGUUACUAUAUUUUUUUAAUUAGAAAUUAGAAAUUUUAGUUGUUUAUAUAAAUGAGAUUUUAAAUUAAAAAAACCAUAAUUUGUGGGAUUAAAAAUAUUAAAAUAUAAAUAUACUAUUGUGUGUGUGUGUGUGUGUGUGUGUGUAUAAAUAUGGGUACAUUCAUCAAAAUUAACCAAAAAAUUUAUUGUAUCAAAACAUGGGUACAUUCUUCAAAAUCACAAAAAAAGAAAGAUAUUAGGCUUAAUAACAUUAGUAAAUUUCUUCGAUUAAACUUGACAUGGAUACAUUUUAAAAUCAAAGAAAAAAAAUGUACCCAUAUAAGUUUAAAAAUGGAUUAGAAAAAAAAAUUGAAUAGAUUUUAUACAAAAAAAGGGUACGUUUUACAUAUAACAAAUUGGUAUAUUUAAGAAUGAGUACAUUUUAAGAUUAAAAAGUUUUACAUGAAUGGGUUCAUAUAAUUAGCAUGGGUACAUUUAGCAAAAUAAAAAGUACAAAUACAAAAAAAUAUAUGUGUACAAAUACAAAUAAACUUUAAAAAAUAUGGGCACAAAAAGAAAUUAAUAUAUGGGUACAAAUUAAAACCGAAAAGAAAAUUGGUACAAGUUAAAAAAGAAUUACAAAUUAAAAAUGGGUACAAACUAAAACUAAAAAUAUAUGAUAAAAAAUUUAGUCAUAAAUAUAAAUAUACUAAUUGUAACAUUUUUAACAUUAAAUGAAUAUAUUUAGACAUAAAAAAUAUAUUUUAUUAUUGAAAUAAUUAAUGAUGUUAUUAAUACCCAAGGACCUUGAUAAAAAAUUGAAAAGAAAUAGAAUUUUAAUCAAUGGAGUAGCAAAAGAAAAGAUGAGAACCUAAUUUCUCCUUUGUAUUGUGUAGACAUUAUAACUAUACAUUCAUAAUAACAUGAGUAAUGUUAUAUUUAUCACAUUUGUACUCUUUCUCCAAUAAAGAUAGGGUCCAUCAACACAUGUGGGUUCUAUUUGCCCAUCAACACAUGCGAAUCUCAUUUUUAUUAGAAAAAUAGUACAAAUAUGAUAUGGAAAUUAUGAUAAGAUCGCAAUUUUGUAAUAACAUAUAUACUCAACUAUUUAUAUACCAACUCAUCUCCCUUUAGUGUAGUUAAUAUUGUUUGUUCAACCAAAAAAAAAAAAACUGAACUUGUCAUAAUCAUUGAAUCCAUUUACCAUGAACAAACGGCAGUUUACUAAACUUGCCCUCAGAGUAUAUAUAAAAGGUGAAUCACAAUCUAUUGCAUUAAUAUAAGGAAACAAUUUAUAGGGUUUGACGGGUGACUUAAUAUGCUAUAUGGCACAAUGAAAAUUAAGUUCACACUUUAUCCCAAAUAAGGUGUUGCACCUUUAAUUUAUGGAUGCUGGUUUGACGUGUGACCGAAAUAAUCAAAUUGUAGCCAUUAAUCAUUUUACAAGUAAUAAUAUGUGGUUUUAUUGUUUACGAUUCACACAACAAUCUGCUAGGAAGUAGAAAAUGCAGUACUUGUCCCUCUCACAGAAGUCAUGAAUAAUUAUCAAAUUCAAAGAUAAAGAAAAACCACACAAUUUACAAGAGGAAAGAAAAUGAAGGGAUAAAGAAAGUAAGAAAGGAAUACCUCUAUGGGAGGACUCUUAUUUGCUUCAGAUGCCUACAAUAUUCAUCAUAUAAACACUGAUUAAGUAGUCAUCGAAAACCAAAACAAAUGUCGAACAUAGGGUGAAAAACAGAAAGAAUAACCGCAGCUCAUCAUACCAAUAGAGAUAGAACUGCCCGAUGCCCAAGUAUGACUGAAAAAUGGCAAUCCAAACAUGGCGCCUUCUAGCUCAUCAAACUGUCAAAACCUAGGUUCCACCAAAAAGAUACAAGUCACCUAGUUACUUGUAAAAUAAAAAUCUGUUUCAAAAUAGUGGAAAAUAUUAUUAACAUUGUUCAAAGUCCACAUUGUUGUACCUACCAAGAAACAAGAAGGAUUGUAUCUUAUCAUGAAAAAGAACAUAGGUACCUUUUCAAUUGUAAUUGUACAAAAAUGAGAGACCACUUCCGAACUUCUCUUGGAACUUCAAUCAAUUUCUGCCCACUUUUAAAUGCCUUGACAUACUUAAGCCUAUUUCUUUGAGCUUCAGUUUUGGCUUCUGAUGCCUUUAAAUUUCUUAAAGAUUCUUACCAAGUUUUACAAACUCACUUCUAUACAACCAUUUGUCAGUAUACAUACCAUUUUCUUUGAGCUUCAGUCUUUGCAACACCAAAACCCCCCAAAUAGACCCGGAAUUUUGCAAUGUGCAGGGAAUAUACAAAAAAAACCCUCCUAUCCAUCUAAAACGAAAUCAGAACGCAAACCACAAUCAAAAUCCGUAAAAUUAAUUUAGCCAACCCCUAAAUCUAAUAAUUCUAACAAAUAUUAUAGUAUCAAUUGAGAGAGAAUUUGAGAAGAUACCUAGAGAUGAAAGGAAGAGCGUUUCCUCUGAUAGGGGUUCCGUGAAAGCAUCUGUUGACCAGAAAAGAAAAGGCAAAAAACCCCAAAUUACAUAUCAAGCAAUUAUAGAUAGAUCGAACCUUGAAAAUUGAAAUUUCAAACAAGAGAAAGGUUAUAAACUUACAACGAUCUGGGUGUUGGUAACUGGGUUUGGAUUUGGGUUUCUGAUAAGAGAGAGAAUCGUAUGAGGAACCGAUAGAGGAACUGCACCGGCAACAGAGAGCAAUUGAUAUGGUGGAGAACAGACGAGAAUAGCUGCUUGGAUGGUCAAUCCAAGAAGAGAAAAUCUUGCCACAAUCGCGGUACUUGAAAAAAAAAAAAACAAGUUUAAAGGAGGGAAACAAUCGCGCCUUUUUCUAAUAGACUCUGUCGACGAUAUUCUUGACAAAUAGAUGCUUCGUCGGGUGAGCUUAUUUUUCACAACAUUUUAUUUAGGAUUGGGUUCGGUUGGUAAACCGUGUCAAAUUUCUUGUGCCACUUGCCAGCCACAUAUACAUAAUUACCGAAAAUCAGUUACCGUUAGCCAACCGUCUUCUUGCGGUUGCCAAAAAUCGGUUCAGCCAAAAUGAUUGGCUGGUUCGGUUGGUAAAUGGCACAACCGGUGGUUUCCACUUCUUCCUCGCUAUCUUCCAGUUCCAAGGGCUCAAUUUGAUUUUCAGAUUGGGAUGCUUGUUCGGUUGCAUUGUGUGGUUCAUUUUGGGUUAAUCCAUGUUGUGCACUAGUAGUUGAUUGGCUAGACUCCAUUAUCCUAAACAUAAGCAACAAAUAUACAUUCAAAAUAAUAUAUAUGUACGUGUAUAUAUAGUAUCAGUAAUCAUCAUGCUAUCAAUUUUGUUAACAAUAUUUUCUAUAUAUUGAUUUUGGCAUGAAUCAUAUACACAUACAUAUAUUUUUAAAACCCUAAAACUAAGGAGUCAUUUAUUUUCUAAACUCUAAAAUUGAGGAGUCAAGCAUGUAAAAAAAUACUUAAAAUAUCUAAAUAGAAAAAGAAAAAGAAAAAAAAAUAAAUAUAUAUAUAUAUCGGUAGGUAUGGCAUACCGCCGGCAUACAAAAUCAAUUACCAAAGCCAUGCCAUUAAUUGUCGGUUCGGUAAAAUGCCAACCGAUUAUGAAAAAAUGUCAAAACUAUACCAUACCAUUUUGAGCCAACCAGUAUGGUUUGGUCAGUAAAUCGGUUUAUGGCAAAAUUUCUCACCCCUAAUUUUAUUUGUCACCUUAAACCUAUUGGUUUCUAGCCUACAAUUCGGAUAUUUUGUUGGGGAAAGAUUUUUGUACCAAUAAAAUUUUGCUUUGUCGGCAAAAUGACAUUUUCUAGUAGUUAUAAUAUUAGGUAGAUCAAAUUUGUAAACUAUGUGAUGUGUCACUAAUAGGAAAAAAUUUCAGUGUGCUGAAAAUACGGUCUAGAACACCAAGUGUCAUAAUAUAUACUUGGUUGGAAAUCUUUUAUUUUCAAGUUUCCAACUAGUUGUAUUGUAACAGUUGGUGUUCCAAGCUAUUUUCUCCAUGCGCUGGAAAAUCUCUUCACUAAUUAAAAAUAAACAUAUUAAUUAACACUUAAGUAAUAAUCAAAGCAUCAACAACUACGUCAUAGAAUUUACGAAAUAUGAUCUUAAUUAAUGAUCUCCAUUACCCUUUAUCUUAGCGUAUACGUACGCCUUCACAUGUUUAUUUGCUGAUAUGCAGCUUGAGUAAAAAUUUCUUUUUAAGAACAUAUAUGUGAAUAUAAACAUAUAUAUCUAGUGAUCCAUGUUGCGUUAUUUAAAAAUAAACAAAUUAAUUAAUUAAUGAACUGUGUACCUGUCUGUGUAGAGUAAUCCAUAUGCAUGCUUGAAUCCUGAUCACCACGAAACCAUAAUAUAAGCUACUCAAGGCCCGGAAGCUAGGAUUGAAGAGAAAAACACCCAGUCAGAUUAAGCCAAUACAUCAAAGUUAAUACUUCCAAAUGUAAGCUUUAAGAUAGAAAAAUCACUUACUUCCUUGAGCAGUCGAGCUUCUUCAAUGGCAUGAAGCUUUUAGCAUGAGAUUGACUGCAUCACAACUAAAAUUUUCUCUUGGAAACUACAUAAGGAAUAGCAUGUAUACCUAUAACGUUGAGAAAGUACGCCAAUUUUUUCCUUCUGCACAUUCAUGUUUAAAAGUAAUCCUCAAAUGAACUUGCCCACAAUGAAAUGCAAUUUGAGGUAGUCGAGUGUGUUCCAUUUCCAUCCCAUCGGAAUUACUACUAAACUUUGAGAUGGUAGAGGAUUCAUGAAAUUUUUUACUUUUGAAAUAGUCUCCUUAGCAUUUCUCGACUAUAACAAUGAGGAAAUACUUCACCUUGUAUCAAACAAGGGAGACCGAAAAUCAACUACUAAUAGCAUCACAGAGCCAGCAGAAGAUUGAGGAGGCCAUGAAAAGGAAAGAGAAAAUACACUCUUUUUUUGUAAGGACAGAGAUAAUACAUUCAAUAAAGGGUACUGAUGUUUAUAUGCAAAGCUGAUUAGGUUUAAAUAGUCGUAUUUAUUCUGUACAGUGCCAAUAUUACCACCCGUUAGUACACUUUCAAGACACUGUAAUCCAGUGUAUGCACUAUGCAGUACGUAGUACUCCUCAUUUUUUUGGGGAAAUUCAUUAUUGGUCUUCAUAUCUUCUUUAUUUUCCUUGUCCUCAUUGUGCCACGUGUUUAAAUCACUAAUUAUAGGUAAUCUUUCAAUUUAAUUAAAUCUUAUGUAAAAAAAGAUAAUUAAAUAUCAUUUAGUAUUACAAUAUAGUGAUAUUCCUCUUUAGUAUAAAAUUUUUAUAAUUAAAAGCGUUCAGCUUUUUAAUCUUCAUUGGAAUAUUAUCUAUAAAGAAAAAUUAUUCGAAUCAGAGAUCAUUUAUGCAUUCAAAUGUAUAAAAUACAUCGACAGUGUGAGAACCAACUAAUAUAUUUUUGAUGAAGUACAAUUAUUGAAUACAUUUGAACGAUCAAAUGAUAUAUGAUUCAAAAUACAUAUUAAGAUAAUAAAUAUAAAAGAAUUGUUAUUUGCACUUCAAGAAUCUCAUUCUACACUCUAAAUUUUCUAUAUAUUAAAAGAAAAAUAAAUUUGUGAAAAGUGUAGAAUGAGGUUUUUUUAAAUGCUAAUAACACUUCUCUAAAUACAAUUAUGAAAUUAAUUAAGUAAAGAUACAUGACCUCGUGAAUGAUGAAUGUAUUAUUCAAAAAAAUAUUAAAAACAAAUUGAAAAAGGACGCUGUUGUUGCCACCACUUAUGCAAUGAUCGUCGCUGCCAUCACCAACCCCCAACACCCCAUUACAGCUCAUAAAAGCACAUCAUAAGCAAUUUAUGAAAUAAAUUUACUGGAAUACUAAUUUCCCCCUUAGUUUAGGUCACCAAUGUUUAAAUUUAGGGAUCGUGAUAUCCACACACAUUUUUUACUUCUUUCACACUUUUUUUUUCGGUUGUCGGAUCAGAUGAAUUGAAGAAAAUCAAUGAACAGAAAUUAACAAGGGGUGUGUGAGAAGUAAAAAUGAAUGUGUGGAUAACACACCCCUAAAUUUAUCACAACUUUCAUUCCAAAUUUAAUUUUUAUCCGUAGUUUUGUUUGUUCAAAUUUACUUUGACAUUUCCAUUAGUAUUAAAAUCUAAUUUAAAUUUUAGUGUUCAAGCUAGAAAAAGUGUUCCAUUUAAUAUUUAAUCUCAGUUUUUCUCUUUAUUCUUUUAUUGGGAUUUGGUUGCAUCGUAUCUCCAUUUUUCUCGGUGUUGUAUGUUCAUAAGGCCUGUGAAACGUUGGCACGGAGUGAAGGGUACUCACUUUUUGGCCCAAAAUGCAUAAGGCAUGUAGAUAUGUUAAUCAAAUUUUGUAAACUAAAGGAUAUAGAAGUUGAUAAUUAGAUUAUAAUUUAAGAUAAUACUAAGGAGACUAAAUUUGCAAACUAAAUGAUGUGUCACCAAUAAAAAUAAGCACGUUUAUCAACAAUUAAGUAAUAAAUCAAUCAUCAACUUUCAUGUCCUUUAGUUUCCAAGAUUUAAUAUACAAAUUUAGUCUCCCAAGCAUUACUCUAUUACUUAAGUAUUGAUUAACAGACUUAUUUCUUAUGGUGACACAUUAUUUAGUUUACAAUUUUAGUCUACCCAACAUUACUCUUUUGAAAUUGUCUUGUCCACUGAUAUAAUUCUAUUUUUCUUGUGAUCAAAACUUCAAAUGUUAGCAAGUCGCACGUAAAGUCGCUUAUGAGAGAAUGUGCUCACAUUGUAGUUGAAAGAUUAUGUGGCUAGCAACAUUACAAAUUUAAUUUGGUAUAAUUCUAAAAUAUAGAUUGAGGAAAAAAUGAUCACAUUAACUAGAAACUGAAAAGGUUUCAGCACAGUUUGUUCAAGCAAGAAAUUCAAUUUUGAUGCUACCGAUCUUAACAGCCUGAGCGCCGUACCUGGGCACCAAAGUCACCACCACACUCUCAUCAUCUUCAGCACCCAAAUCCUCCAACAGGUCCGUUAACCCCAACCUUAAACAACUCUUGCUCUUUUCCUUCUGCUUAUGUGGCACACUCACAAAACUCCCAGCAAACUCGCUCUUGUCGGGUCCACUCGGUGCCGCAUCCUCAUCGUCCACGUCAUUCACAUACACACAUCAAACUUCACAGCCACAUCUUUGUCAAGCUCAAUCCCCUGAAUCACCAAUAUCUCCUCCUCAUCCUCUUUCUCCUUCUUGCUCCUCUUCUUCGGCUUCGGCCUUGACACCACCGUACUUAUCUUCGUCUCCAAAUUUAUUGGAAAAUCUUUACCCGCCACCACCUUCCCUGAUGACGUCGUCUCAGUGGCCUUCGCCACUCCAGCCGCCUUUGCCUUUCUCGCAAGCUUUGUCCGACGUGGCGUCGGUCUAGACUUGAGCCAUGGAAUCUCAACAUCUUCAUACGUAUACCCUAGCUUUUUAUUAUCAAGAGUGUCCCUCACCGUGACCCUAACAAGCUCAGCAUUCUCGUCAUAAAACAAAAACCCCGUAUCCAACCAAUCCUUAUCGUUAAUAUCGUUAUUUUUAGUCCCUAUACUUUUCCAAAUAUUCCACAUUCGAUCUAUAUUCGAAUGGUGCGAAAAAAAUAUUGGAUCCCUUGCAGCGGAGUAAAAAUUCCCCAUGUCUUCAAAAUUAGGCUGCGUGUUAUCUCCGGUCCAUAAAUGAACCGGACCAUGUGGGGUCGUUUCGAUUGAACCGCCCCCUGGAUCUGGUUCAGUGUCAGCCCUGUAGGGCGAACCAAAGAACAACAGCGGUUUCUUGGAGUUGGAAACCAUCUGCCUAUACAUGAUUUUGAGGUUGGCGUCGAUUUGAGCAUCCUUGGACAUUGUUUCAUCCGUGCCGUUGAAGUCAAGAUCGAUGAGAGUCGGCGGCUGAUGGCUGGCAGCGCGGAGCUCGUCGUAAAGCGGAGAGUCCGGGUUAGCGAACAAGGCAGGGAGUUGCAUGCCAGCUGGCGCGUCCCAGUUCCAAAACGGCAACGCGAACGUCGGAUCGUCUAUGAGUUUGGCCAAGAUUCUUUCGUAGAAGUAUACGUAGUAACGAUGGAAGGGGAAGAAAAGCCAGCAUUGAUGGAUUUGGAGCUCGAGGUUGGGGAAGCCGACUUGGUCGUACGCGCCGUCGCAAUAGGCACAGUGGAGAUCGGCUUGCUGGGUGAAGCUACGCGGAUCGUCGUCCGGGAGGGCUUUCAUGAGCUCGAUGGCUUUUGAAUAUUUUUCGAUGUAGGCUUUAUCCACGGUGUGAGCUGCCGGCCUGACGCGGAGUUUGGUAGGGGAGGGGAAUUUGAAGUCUACGAUUUUUUGGGACGUUGGCGGGCAACAGUUGAUCGGGACUGCUCCACUUGGAAAGUCCGCAGCUCCGCAUUUGGCUAGGUCAGGCGGCAACACUGGCUUUGCAACAGCGAAGGGGUCGCUGCCAAGACCAGCCACUCCGGCUUUGCAACAGCGAAGGGGUCGCUGCCAAGACCAGCCACUCCACCGUAGAGGCUUCCGAGACCUAUAAGAAGAUAGAAUUCAGUUCUUGGCAGUAGAGGACUCUAUUGCAGGGAAAAACUGAUUUGAAUUAGGAAGGCUUAAGUAGUUUUCCAUAAGGAUUUUAAUAGGGAAUCCAUAUUCUAAUAUGAGAAGGAUAUGUGUGUACAUAUAUAUAUAUAUAUAUGGCAAUCUCUUCUCUCACAGGUGUGUGCUCUUUUGGAACUAAGCCCUAUUCUUAGUUUGAGUGAUAAAUACCCUGACAGAGAGAAGAAGAAUUGAUGUGCUUUUCAGGUUGAUCGAGAUCCACCAUGACUGCAUCAAACGGGAGUUCUACAGGUUAGUAUAAUUAGGUUUUAUUUGGAUUGAUGUUUUGUGUCUACUUGGUUGUAGUUUAAGUAACUGAAUCUUGCAGCUAGAUUUUGGUUUACAUGUGGUAUCAGAGCCAUAGAUUCAUGUUCUUAAAUUCAAUCGAUAAAAUUGAUUGAAUCCAAAAUAAAAUUCCGAUCUUCAGACUUCGAAACAGGUUCUGGUAGUUAAAAUUAGGAAAAGAAGAAACGGUGCGUUUUGAUUAAAAUAUGAUGAUUAAUACUUGACCGUUAAGAGCUAAUAAACUAUCUUCUCUUCCGAAUUGGGAAUACAAAUCGACAUCUAUCGAUUUCGAUUUCGGGGUUUGAAAAACUGGGUUAUAUGACAUCUAUCGAUUUCGAUUUCGAGGUUUGAAAAACUGGGUUAUAUGAAUUGUUAUUGAGUAUCCACAAUUUAUAUUAAUUGCUUCCGCUGCUGGGUGUUGAUGCUCAUAGAACAAACGGGUAUGUCUCCUGAACAUUGAAUUGAAAUUUGUUUUUUAAUCAAUCUUAUCUUGAAUUUCAUUAUGUUCUACAGCAUGAUUCGAAUAGUGAGCAUAAAAAUAUGCUUAUUUAUGCUGAUUAGUCCUAUGUUUAUGCGUUUUUCUCUAACCAUCUAUGGAAGGGAGUUCUUCGAUAAGAACCUCUGCAGAUUUCACUUGUUUUAUGCAGAAAGUUUUAUGAAGAACUGUUCAUUUGAUAAAGAUCUGCUAAAACUGUGUUCUUAAAUGGAAAAAUCUUUUAUUCUAUAUGUGCUUAUCAAUUCUUCAUUGUUAAGAUUAUAUAUAUGGAUAAAAGGUUUUGAUGAUAUGAUGUACAAAGGAUUGUGAGAUGAAAUCUGGAACUCUAAACGUUCUUCUGUGAUUCAUUGUGAUUUCAUUGUGCUACAGUGUCUGCAAUAUCAAUGAAGACUCUGAAUUUGGCUAACAUCCCAAUUCUUACUGGUGGGGGAAAUUACAAGAAGUGGAGAAGGGAAAUCAGUUUGCUGUUGACUCUAAACGAGUUUGAUAUAGCAAUCGAGAAUCCCAAACCCGUGGUCAAUGAUCAGAGCAGCACAAGGGCUGAAAAGGCAGAUUUUGAGAGAUGGACAAGGGCUAAUAAGGUAGCAUUGUCCAUCCUUGAGAGUGGCAUGACUGAUACAAUCAGAUGAGGAAUUAAGAAGCACGAUUUGGCUGCUGAUUACCUAAAAGCUAUUGAAAAGAAAUUUCAAGAAUCUGAAAAAGCUGAAGUGAGUCAGUAUAUGUCUUUAUUAACUACUUACAAGAUGGAGGGUACAAGCUCUAUAAGGGAUCACAUAAUGAAGAUGACAUAUGCUGCAGAAAGACUCAAUGCAAUGGAUAUAAACAUAGGUGAAAAGCAGUUAGUAUUCAUGAUUCUUCAAGCACUUCCCAGUAAAUAUAGUCAGUUGAAGAUCUCCUACAAUACUCAAGACAAAAACUGGGAUAUUGAUCAGUUGAUUGCACAGUGUGUGCAAGAAGAAACUCGUCAAAAACAAGAAAGAGGCAAAGAAGUUGAGGACAUCAACUUUGUGCAAACUAUAAAUGACAAAAAGCAGUUCAACAACAGAAGCUUUUCUGGUUCUGGUAAGAGUUCUAAGCCUUUUAAAACUUCUAAUAAGUUCAGUAAUUCUGCUAAAGUAGUUGACUCCCCUAGAAAAUCUAUCAAGUUUAAAGCUAAACCUAAAGAUGUGUCUAAAUUAAAAAUGUUUUUGGUGCAAAACUAAGGGCCAUUUAAAAGUUAACUGUGAAAUUUUCAAAGAUUAUGUAAAGAGCAAAGAAAAGGAACAAGUACUUGUCUGUAUUGAAUCAAAUUUGUGAAGUAUACCUGUUGAUUCUUGGUGGUUUUGAUAUACCGGAUGCUCAGUGCAUAUAACUAAUUCUUUAAAUGGUUUUCAAAAACAAAAGGAAUUUGGAAAUGCUACAUAUAAUGUUUUUGUUGGGGAAGGAACUAAAGUUGCAGUAGAGUCAAUUGGGAUAGUCAAAUUAGUCUUAUGUUCUGGUUAUGUUUUAGAGUUGAAAGAUGUGUGCUAUAUGUGCCUAAGAUGAGAAGAAACUUAAUUUCUGCCCUCUAAAAUUGUAAAAGAUGGUUUUUCUUUUCUUGGUGAUGAUGAGUGCCUCAAAAAUUUUCAAGAAAAACUGUCCUUGUCCUAACACUAUUUUAGGGACUGCUUUUUUGUCUGAUAAUUUAUGGAAUCUAAAUUGCACUGUUAAGGCACUCAAUCACACGAUUUUCAGCAUUAGUACUAAGAGAAUGAUAGGUCAGGAUACUUCAUACAUUUUAUGGCACAAAAGACUAGGACACAUCUCUAAAGAAAGGAUAAUUAAGCUGUAAAAAACUGACUUGAUUCCAAAAUUAGAUCUUUCUACUGCAACUGAAUGUGUUGACUGCCUAAAGGGUAAAAUGACCAAUUUUAGAAAAACAGAUGCCAAAAUGAGCCAGGGGUUACUUGAAAUCAUACACACUGAUAUCUGUGGUCCUUUUCCAGUUAAGACAAUAUGUGGAAACAAGUAUUUCAUUAAUUUCAUAGAUGAUUUUUCAAGGCUGGGAUAUACCUUUCUGAUUAAUGAAAAAGCUGAUGCCCUUAAGUGUUUUAUAAUUUACAAAACUGAGGUUGAAAAACAGUUAGGCAAGGUUAUUAAAAUUGUUAGAUCGGAUAGGGGAGGUGAAUACUUUGGCAGGUACACUGAAUCCGGGCAGCAAAAGGGACCAUUUGCUCUCUAUCUCGAGAAGAAUGGUAUUGUGGCGCAGUACACCACACCUGGAACGCCUCAACAGAAUGGUGUUUUUGAAAGAAGAAACAGGACUCUUAUUGGUAUGGUUAGAAGCAUGAUGUCCAGAUCAAAAUUGCCAGGAUUCUUGUGGGGAGAAGCUUUGAAAACAGCUAAUCAUAUAUUGAAUCGAGUUCCAAGCAAGGCAGUAUCUACCACACCCUAUGAGUUAUGGCAUGGGAGAGUUCCUAGUUUUACUUAUUUCCAUGUUUGGGGUUGUAAAGCAGAAGCUAAGUUAUAUAAUCCUAAUGAAAGAAAGCUGGAUUCAAGGACUCAGUCAUGUUAUUUUAUUGGCUAUCCUGAGAAAUCAAAAGGAUACAGGUUCUAUAUCCCUCAAGGUCACACUCGGAUCCAAGAGACACACAAUGCAGUUUUCCUAGAAGAUGAAGAUGUCUCUCAUUUGUCAAGGGAAAAUUUCAUAUUUGAAGAGAUGCAUUCAGAUGGUGGGGACCAUGUGACAAUGGAUUAUAAUAUCGGUCUCAUUGUUUCCCAAUCAAUCAUCAAUUGCCAUUGAAGAUAUGAGUGAAGAUUUAGGAGUUCCUGAUGACAACUCUGUAGGAGUUGAUUCCACAACAUAAGCUGCAACAAUUCCUUUUGCAGAAGCAUGUGAACCAGUUGCUGUUCCACCUCCAGUUGAAAUCAGAAGGUCACAAAGAGCUCGGAAAACCACUGCAAGCAAUGACUAUGUGUACUUAUAAGAGACUGAGUUCGAUAUUGGUGACAUUUGAUGAUCCUCUUACAUAUACUCAGGCAACUGAAAGUCCUCAAGCAGUUCUUUGGAACAAUGCAAUGAAGGAUGAGUUAGAUUCAAUGUCCAAAAACCAGGUUUGGACAUUGGUGGAAUCCAACUCUGAAAUUAGGCCAAUAGGCUGCAAGUGGGUAUAUAAAACCAAAAGGGAUGCUGCUGGAAGAAUUGAAAGAUAUAAAGCAAGGUUGGUUGCUAAGGGGUUUACUCAAACGGAGGGGAUCGACUAUAAUGAUACUUUCUCUCCAGUUUCCUCCAAAGACUCCAUGCGAGUUAUCAUGUCUUUAGCUGCCUACUUCGAUCUUGAAUUACAUCAAAUGGAUGUAAAAACCGCUUUUCUUAACGGAGACUUACAAGAGGCUAUAUACAUGAAACAACCUGUUGGAUUUGUUGAAAAGGGGAAAGAGAAUUUAGUAUGCAAGCUCAAUAAGUCCAUAUACGGCUUGAAACAAGCAUCAAGGCAAUGGUACCUAAAGUUUGAUCAAAUUGUCUCUGCAUAAGGUUUUGUAGAAAACAAACUGGAUGAUUGUAUAUACAUUAAGUUCUCAGGUUCCGAGUUCAUCUUCUUAGUACUUUAUGUUGAUGCCAUUCUCCUAGCUAGUUCAUGUCCCCAAUUGCUUCAUAGCAUUAAGAGAAUGCUAAGUGAUAACUUUGAGAUGAAAGAUCUUGGAGAAGCACAUUAUGUACUAGGAAUAGAGAUUGUUCGAGAUAGGAAAAUGAGGCUCCUUGGUUUAUCUCAAAAGGGGUACAUUGACAGAGUGUUGGAGAAAUUUCAUAUGGCAAAUUGCAAUUGUGGUCAGGUUCCAGUCAAUAAAGGUGACAAGUUUUCGAAGAUUCAAUGUCCAAGAUCUGAUUUGGAGGUGAAGAAAAUGCAAGCUAAGCCUUAUGCCUCGUUGAUUGGAAGUCUUAUGUAUGCAACUAUCUGUACAAGGCCUGAUAUUGCCUUCAUAGUUGGUAUGCUAAGACGAUUUCAAGCAAAUCCUGAGAAGCACAUUGGGGGUGGCAGCCAAGAAGGUUCUUCGAUACUUGCAGAGAACCAAAACUCACAUGUUAGUAUAAUGGCCGAACUGAUUCUUUGGAGCUCAGGGGGUAUAUACUCGGAUUUAGCUGGAGAUGUGGAUGACAGGAAGUCCACAGGGGUUAUAUCUUCAUACUCAAUGGAGGGGCAGUUUCGUGGAAAAAUGCAAAGCAAACUAUUAUAGCCACAUCAACUAUGGAAGCUGAGUUUGUAGCCUGUUUUGAAGGCAUGAAACAGGCAGCAUGGUUGAAGAAUUUUUUGACAGAUUUAAAGAUUGUGAAUUCGGUUCAGAAACCAGUAACAAUGUUCUGUGAUAAACAACUCGGCUGUGUUUUUUGCUAAGAAUAAUAAAAGGACUUCAGCAUCUAGAUUUGGAUGGACGAAGUUUCUUAAGGUCAGAGAACAAGUCAAGAAAGGAGUUAUUGAAGUACAGCACAUUAGCACUACUAUGAUGAUUGCUGAUCCCUUGACUAAGGCACUGCCAAUUGGAGAAUUCAAGAAACAUGUUUCUUCAAUAGGAGUACUAGAAGGUUUUGAUCAGUGGGAGUAAUCACGUGUGUGUUAAAGGCUUGGGAUUGCAGAAGCAGAAGUAUAUAUGUGUUUCAAGAACUGUAUGUGCAAUUCUGACAAGCUGAACUAAGGAUGCUUUAUGUUUUAACUUGCUUUAGUUAGUUUGUUAAGGUUGUUUGUGUUUUAAUAAGUGUCCUUGUCUGCUACUCAAUACUUUGGCUUUCAGGUGUUGAGGUACGGAUACUGGACUGAGUUAGAAUUUAGUUUCAUUAGUAACUUUGAAAGAACAGUUUGUCUGUUUUUUAAGUUUGUGGUUAAUGAUGUUAUAUAGUCAAUUACUAUGUUGCUUUUCUGUGAAGAUUAAUGUGUGUUGUGAUCUUUUGAAAAGUGGGAGCAUAAUGUUUGACGGUUUAUGUUAGUCAUGAGUCAUAUUUACAAAUUGAAUAUAUGUGAGCCUUGAAUUAAUACUACAAUUUGGUUGUGGUCUGAGAUUCUUGGUUUCUAUAUUUUGAGAUGUAAUGGGACAGUGGUCAUGAUGGUUAAAUCUUAGAUGAGGUUAUGUGAUCACUUCUUAUGAUUGGUGACGGCAAGGUUUGAUCUUUGUCUCAUGUUCAAGUGGGAGAAUGUAAGAAUGUGAACAUGAGAUAAGAUGAUCGGAUAUUAGUUGUUUGAGUCCAAUCCGAAUAAGAAAGCCUCUAAGAAGAUGGAAUUCAGUUCUUGGCAGUAGAGGACUCUAUUGCAGGGAAAAACUGAUUUGAAUUAGGAAGGCUUAAGUAGUUUUCCAUAAGGAUUUUAAUAGGGAAUCCAUAUUCUAAUAUGAGAAGGAUAUGUGUGUACAUAUAUAUAUAUAUAUGGCAAUCUCUUCUCUCACAGGUGUGUGCUCUUUUGGAACUAAGCCCUAUUCUUAGUUUGAGUGAUAAAUACCCUGACAGAGAGAAGAAGAAUUGUUGUGCUUUUCAGGUUGAUCGAGAUCCACCAUGACUGCAUCAAACGGGAGUUCUACAGGUUAGUAUAAUUAGGUUUAUUUGGAUUGAUGUUUUGUGUCUACUUGGUUGUAGUUUAAGUAACUGAAUCUUGCAGCUAGAUUUUGGUUUACAUAUUUUUCGAUGUAGGCUUUAUCCACGGUGUGAGCUGCCGGCCUGACGCGGAGUUUGGUAGGGGAGGGGAAUUUGAAGUCUACGAUUUUUUGGGACGUUGGCGGGCAACAGUUGGUCGGGACUGCUCCACUUGGAAAGUCCGCAGCUCCGCAUUUGGCUAGGUCAGGCGGCAACACUGGCUUUGCAACAGCGAAGGGGUCGCUGCCAAGACCAACCACUCCGGCUUUGCAACAGCGAAGGGGUCGCUGCCAAGACCAGCCACUCCACCGUAGAGGCUUCCGAGACCUAUAAGUACAUUUCUUCUGUCUAGGUUUACUAGAGAAGGGUUUUCAUGGUCGUGAUCGUUGGAGCUAGUGGAAGGGUUUUUGUUUUGGUCACUACUAUUAUUUGUGGCUUUGCACGAGACAGCUUGUAAAUUGGAAUGCCUAGGGUUUCCAAAUGAGGAUAUUCGGUGAUACUUUUGGGAGAAAGGGGAGAGAGAAGUUGUGGGGAUGAUACUUGUGGCGGAGGUGACGAGUGGAGCUGACAUAGAAGCCAUGGUACUUGACUCUGAAUAAUACGUUGUAUUGGCUUUGCUUUUAUAAUGUGUUCUAGGUUUUACGUUUCUUUGCACGGGUGGCAGGCCGUACACACGUGGUCGGUCCUUAAGGGUUUGACGAGGAAUACUACGCAGUCAUUUAGUACAUGACAACCAUACACUAUAGCACGUGGCAUGUAUUUAGAGAUCGAGAGAGAAUUGGGUAAGGUUCACGAGGGAUUGUAGUUUCAGAAGGUGAAUUGGUUUUGGUCUUCUUGUGUACCAAUAAUUUUUACUUAGUCAUUUAGUGCAGGACAACCAUGCACUAUAGCACGUGGCAUGUAUUCAGAGAUCGAGAGAGAAUUGGUUGGGUAAGGUUCACGAGGGAUUGUAGUUUCAGAAGUUCAAGCGGUUUUGGGCUUGUUGUGUACGGCUGUGGGUCUGCUGUCACGGACUCUCUGUCUCAUUUGUGUCUUAUUUUUUAUUUUUUGACACGUUUUAACGUCAAAUCAUUAUAGCAAUGUUAUGCAAUUGGGAGCUAAAUGACCGAUGCUCUUAUUUUUUAGUUUGCUUUUUUUCCAGAUCUGAUCAAAUCAUGAUAGCAAUGUUAUGCAAUUUUCAAGAGGGAGAGAUGCACCUGGGAGAGAAACGGUACGGUGACUUCUAAAUCACCGUCCAACAGAACAAUUCUCAGUAGAGACUACUAGAGAGAGAUGCACCUCACCAAUGAAAAAUUUAACUGCAAAAAUUCUGGGUAUCGGGAGUUGUGGGGUGGGUCUUGGCAGUUUUCUUAUUUCUUUGAAUUUUUUAUAAUUUAUUUUAUAAAAGUAACAGUGUUUUGUGGGGGUUAAAUUGUAAAACACGUGUCAUCAAACUAAAUAAAGAGACACCAAAGAGACAUGGAAUUCGGGACAACAGACCCACAGCCGUUGUGUACGGAGGCAGACUCUCUGCUCUCCUACUUUCUGUGUCCUCCUGUUUUGUGUAGUCACGAUUAAAUCACGUCAAUAUUUUAUAUUAUUAUUUUAUAGAUAUAAUAAGACAAAAAAGAAUAGUAAUUUAAAAUAUUAACGUGACUUAACUGUGACCACACGAAUAGGAAGGCAUGAGAAGUGGGAAGGCAAAGAAUAUGCCUCCGUUGUGUACCAAUAAUAUUAUAUAUAUAUAUAUAUAUAUAUAUAUAAUUAGGAUUGAAGGAUGUAGAGCUUAUUUUGUUAUGUAUUCUAACAAUUUAAGUGCUUAUCUUUUAGGUUUUCUCUUAAACAGCAUGCCUAUAAAAAAUCACCAAAAUUCAAACCAUAUGACCAUUAGAUCCAUAGUCAUUUUAGUGUUAAAUGAACUUCACAAAAUAAGUCUCAAAAUAUGUAUAAAAAAUGGACAGCGUGAAUGGUUUGGAAAUUGGAAUAGGUUUGGAAAUUGUGCUUUUUGUAGCAAAUUGCAGCAAAGUUUGCUUGGACUUUCACAACCGUAUAAAUUAAACUGUUCGCUUUGUUGGGAAAAACAAGUUUGCCGCUGGUCUUGGGUUCCAAGAUCGGCCAAUUUGACGGCACACUUUUUGGCGUUGAGAAGCAGUACGGAGAUGUGCAGAUUAACUUGGAUUGAUACUCCUCCAUCUUCGUUGGUUCGUGUAUUGAACAAAGAUGGCCUUCCUUGCCCUCCUUAAUAUUUUUUGUUCUUCCUGCAGUGGAGGCGGUGACGCCUUGCUCUUGGUGCAGCGUCUAGUGUUCUGUACCCUCCUCUUCUGCAUAUGUUUGUAUUUCCCCUCGUUGCCCCUUCUAAGUGGGCUUCCUAUUGUUUUGGCUUCGGCCCUGGUUAUGAAAUAUUUCCAAUCUUACCCAAAAAAAAAAAAAAAAAGAAGAAGAAGAAGAAGUCAAGCACGGUGGGAGACUGGUCAUAGUUUCUAGAUUGAUGCUCUAAUUCUAAUGUUAUACAACGCGUACGCUAAAAUAUUUUUAUCAAAAUAUUAGUUUUAGUGUUAUCAAAACAAUAAUGUUAUUCUUACCAUGUUUUUGUAUCACAAUUAUAUACCACCUUAGAUGGCAUAUGAUGUAGAUAGCCACAUCAUUUAAAUUAAUAAGCAUUUAAUUUCAAAUGUUAAUCAAUAAUUAAUAAAAUGAUUGUUAAUUAAAUGAUGAUUAUGGUAUACAAGGAGUCUCCUUCUUCCUUCCCCUUUCCAUUCUGCUUUUUCUUCCUACCACUUUCUGUUUUUUUUUUCAUGCCAGUUUUUGUAUUGAUUUCUAUUGAUUUCCAUGAUUAUGGUCAAUCUUUAUAGAAUUUACUCGUAUACCACAACCACCAUUGAUUUCUAUCUCUAGACUCAUGCCCCGUAGCCCUAAUCCUCAUUCCCCUUCAAGUAUUUCUGUCUCCAAUCUUCUUUGGUACUCCAUGGUUGUUCAUCUCGUGAUUUUUUUUUAUUAUUUCAUUAAGUAACGCCUAUUAGCUUUCAUGCGAAUUAGGAGUCAAAAUCAAAUUUGUCUAUCGGAUUAGGGUUCAUGCCCAAUUAAGUUACUAACGCAAGAGAGAUUUUGAAGUCUACAAUUUUCCUUAUUUAAGUGUUUUAAUUAAUAAGAAAAUUGAAAUUAAACGAUUUAGCUUGUCCAACUCAUCUGCCACCUAAGAUGGUAAAUAAAUGUGGUAAGAAUAGCAUUACUCUUAUCGAAAUUACAAAAAAAAAAAAAAAAAAAAAAAAAAGCUGAUUCAAUAUUUAGUUAUUAAAAAAAAUAUAAAAAAAGUGAUCAAGUAACUAUCCAAUACCCAUGUAUUGGGUGCUUUGUUUGAAAAUUUUCAAAAUGAUAUUGGGCUCGUUUGGAUAUGUUUUUAAAAUGACUGAAAGCGUUUUUAGAGAAAAUAUUUUUUUGAUUCCAAAAGCACUUAAAGUGUUUUCUGCAAAAAGCACUUAAAGUGCUUUCUGCAAAAAGCACCAGUUAUGUGCUUCUUCCUAGAAGCACUUUAAGUGUUUUUCAAGCAUUUACUUGCUUUUUUACUAAGGAUUGGUUCCAAAAACAUUUUCACAAAAAGUGUUUUCAGUCAUUUUAAAAGUACAUUCAAACGAGCUCAUUGUUUUUCCUAUUUUAAUCAAGUGCGUCGUCCCCUGUUGAGAAUGAAUCUCAUAUUAUGGGGAGAGGGGUCUUGCAUGGAUGAGAGGAGGGACCUUGCAUGAGCUUAUAAGUAAGUUGGGUUACUCUCUAUAUUGCCAAGAGAAAUUUUAUUUGGACCUACUUUUCCUCUCUCUAAACCCAACUUUAAUAUUUUGUUACCUAAACUCUCUAGUUUACCCUCAUAAAUUAUAAACAUAAAUAAACUGGAAAAAGAAAAACUCAUCAAACCUAUUUCCCAACUGUUCUGGCGUCUCUUCCCUGUAUUUGUUGGGUCUAUCUCCCUCCCGACUGUUUUUUUUCCCUGAUAUUCUCUGUGUGUUCCCCCACCUCUCCCACACCCACCGAUUCUUUGUGGUGGCUAUUCCACCCAACGUCCAGUGAAUCUUUCCAUUUUUCUUCUAUUGCGCGUGAUAGGGCCUUGCUGUUAAUAGGCAAAACUAAGCGGCAUCGUCGACUCUGUAAGCGACUUGUUGCAGAAGUCCAAAAUGGAGUCAAAAGGAUUUUGUAUUGGGUCGGGUUGUUGAAGGCGAUGGCUGAUUUAGCAAUCUCGCCUAACUACUUCUAUAUGCAGGAGAAGGAAGAGGGAGGAAGGUCUAAAGUGGUGGUUGAGUGGUGGCGAUGUAUGUGGGUUCUAUCUCGGUUGAAUGGGUGUAGAAAGAUAUUUAAUUUUCAGUUUCUUAUUUUAUUUUGUAUAAGGGAUAAUAUCGGAAUUACAUAAAAAGUUUUUUUUAUAGCUGGGUGUAGAAAUAGUAUUGUUGGGUCUAAAUAAAAUUACCCUAUUGCCAAACAUAGUAUUGUUGGGUCUAAAUAAAAUUACCCUAUUGCCAAUUAGCUUUGUUUGAAAAUUUUCAAAAUGAUAUUGUUUUUACCAUUGAACCCUUGUUAUAUACAGUGAUGGCUAAUUUGUCAAGUUCUACGAAGUUGGGAUACCCAGCGUUUUAGCAUAUAACAUAACUUAGUAUUACAAGCAUAAUUAAUUAAAAUAAAGGAAAAUGAAGAGGAUAGCUUAGUAUUACAAGCAUAAUUAAUUAAAAUAAAGGCAAAAGUAACAGCCUGUCCCUAAAAAUGACGAUUUUAUAAUCUUAACACGUGAGUUUAUGAAGAUGCCCUUCGAGGCAAAGUGUUGACUUGUGUUGACUACCGCAUCGUGUCAUGUGAGACUCAUCUUCUUGGCGUAUUCUCGUUUUACUUGUCACUACGGACGCAUGGGCGCAAACGGGACAUGAUUUGGAGCUAUAACGAAUGAGUUAUUAACAUUUAAAGUUAAGGACAUUUUAGUAAAUUAAUUAAUUUCAGAUUAUGUUGAGGGGAAAAUCUGGAGUGCCGGUGGGUGGCCCAGAUUAAAGGAAAUGAAGAAUGGAUGGUGGAGGUGUAAAGGAAAGAAGAUAAAAGAAAAAUGAGAGGAAGUGUGUGACUAAUAGGGAGAUGAGAGAGUUAGGAUGGCCCAAUCAGAAACAAACGAAAGGAGGAAAAAGGAGAGAAGAGGGGAGCGGGGGAUCCCUUCGACCCGGUUCCAUUUUCCGACCCGACCCGAUCCUUUUCAUCUUCUUUGAUGGUUUUUCGUCGGUUUUUUCCGACGAACCACGUUAUCUAACCCCUUGGAAAAUGUUCCACAACCUUCCCUCAACUAUUACAAUCCAAAAUUGUAGAAAUUUAGCCAUGAAAGUAUGAAAACCACACCGGUGGGUGCGGGAAACCCUUGUCGUCGAUUCUCCCAUUAUUGCAACGAUUUUCACCAAUUACCACCACCUACAACAUCCUCUUGAGGUCUGGAAUAAAGCCCAAACAAGUUUUGCACUACUACAAUAUUAGCUUUAGAUGGCAGAUGAUGGUGGCGGAUUUAGAAAAAUAUUGUCGGAUAAAUUAUAUCUGACACAUUAUUUAAUUAGUGGUGAAUAUAAGAAAAAUCAUGUCGGUUAUAACCGACAUAAAUUCGUGGCAGAUACUAGCAGAUAUUAAAAAACUCAUGUCGGUUAUAACCGACAUAAAUUCCUAGCGAAUAAUUACUGACAGAUAUUAUAAAACUUCUGUCGGUUAUAACCGACAAUAUUUUUGAAUUGGGGGAAUUUAAAAUUUUGGGAGGGAAUUUAAAAUUUUGGGAGGGAAUUUAAAAUUUUGGAGGAAAUUUUGGGGGGAUUUUUACCCAUAUUAAUUCAUGGCGGAUAAUUACUGACGAAUAUUAUAAAGCUCAUGUCGGUUAUAACCAACAAUAAUGAAAAUGUUUAUGUCGAUUUUUAUUAAAAAAAUGUUUCUGUCAGUUUUAACCGACAUUAAUGAAAAUAUUCCACAGUAAAACCCCUACUUCUUCUCCUUGUGCUGGUGCCUUCUCCCUUCCCCCUUCUUUCCCCCUUUUCUCUUCUCCUCAUUUCCUUUUCCUUUGUAUUUUUGAUUUUGACAAGGUCUCUCCUUUAUUUGAUUCUUUGUUGUUCAUCUCUCACAAAUGUAGAGAGAGUAAAGGAGAUGCUUAGAGCGCUUUCUUUGUUCCUUUUUUUUUUCUUUUCAUUUUUUCCCUUUUCAAACUCCGACUAUGUCUUACAUGGCCGGUCCCAAGCCCGGAUAAAGGAGGAGGGGGAGGGCGUCAGGUAGUCGACAGCCGGCACUCCAUGAUCACGUCGAAUCCUUAUGAAAAUGAAUCCAGAACAAAAUCGCGCUAAAGCUAGGGCGCCACCCGUAAGUGGCGCGCUGUGUGGCCCGAGCACAGUGAUAAGUGAGCAAGGGUCGCUGUAUCUCCAUCGGCACUCGGAUGCAGUGUUAAAUGAGCAAGGGGGCCAUAGAAACUUCUUUUCGAACGACUCCACUCAAAGUUGUUUGGGAGCAUAUGCUCCUAUCAACUUUACCCGGGACACACAAAAGAAGUACUUUGAUCCUAUUAGACGGGGGAGGGUGAAGAAGCUAGGACAGAAGGGUAGAGUUCAAGAGAGCAAAAUGCGUUUAGGAACGUGGAAUAUAGGAACCUUAACGGGAAAAUCUAUGGAAGUAGUGGAAGUUAUGGUGAGGAGAAGGAUAAAUAUUAUGUGCCUACAAGAAACUAAGUGGGUUGGUAGUAAGGCAAAGGAUCUAGAAAACUCAGGGUUUAAACUUUGGUAUUCGGGCACAAAUAGAACGAGAAACGGUGUUGGCAUCAUCGUGGACAAGACCUUGGUACAAGAUGUUGUAGAUGUCAAGAGUGUAGGAGAUAGAAUCAUGGCAAUCAAGAUUGUAAUAGGACAAGAACUUAUCAAUGUGAUUAAUGCGUACGCACCUCAAGUAGGGUUGGAUACGAGUUCGAAGGAGAAAUUUUGGGAAGAUCUUGGAGACUUGGUGCAAGGAAUUGCUCAGACGGAGAAGUUAUUUAUAGGAGGAGAUUUAAAUGGACACGUGGGCAGGGAGACAGGCAACUAUGGAGGUUUUCAUGGUGGCCAUGGUUUUGGGGAGAGAAACGAGGAUGGGGAAGCUAUCUUGGAUUUUACAAUGGCAUAUGAUCUCUUCUUAGCCAACACCUUCUUUAAGAAGAGAGAAGAACAUGUGAUCACCUACAAGAGUGGGUCGUCAAAAACACAAAUAGAUUUUCUUCUAAUGAGGAAAGGGGAUCGUAUAACUUGUAAGGAUUGCAAAGUUAUACCAGGAGAGAGCGUGGCUAAUCAACAUCGCUUGUUGGUGAUGGAUGUACAUAUCAAAAGAGUAAGACAAAAGAACAAGACUUGGAAGUGCCCAAGGACUAGAUGGUGGAAUCUAAAAGAAGAAAAACAAGUCAUUUUCAAAGAGAAGGUAAUCACCCAAUGUGUGUGGGAUAGAGAGGGGGAAGCUAGCCAAAUGUGGGAUUUCAUGGCUAGUUGUAUCCGAAAAGUAGCAAAAGAGGUAUUAGGAGAGUCUAAGGGCUUUGCCCCACACUAAAAGGAAUCUUGGUGGUGGAAUGAGGAGGUACAAACAAAGGUGAAGGCUAAGAAGGAAUGUUGUAAAGCCUUAUACAAGGAGAGGACCGAUGAAAAUGGUGAAAGGUAUAGAAAAAAAGCGAAGCAAGAGGCGAAGAAAGCUGUCAGAGAAGCUAAGUUAGCGGCUUACGACGAUAUGUAUAAACGACUAGAUACCAAAGAAGGAGAGUUGGAUAUCUAUAAACUAUCUAGAGCAAAGGAAAAGAAGACAAGGGACCUAAACCAAGUGAGGUGCAUCAAGGAUGAGGAUGGAAAGGUUCUUGCUACAGAGAACGCGGUUAAAGACAGAUGGAGAGGUUAUUUUCAUAAUCUUUUCAAUGAAGGACAUGAAAUGAGUGCUUCUUUAGGGGAGUUGAGUAACUCAGAAGAGUGUAGAAACUACUCUUUUUAUCGUCGAAUCCGGAAGGAAGAAGUGGUUGUAGCUUUGAAGAAGAUGAAGCAUAAAAAAGCAAUAGGCCCAGACAAUAUACCAAUCGAAGUGUGGAAACUUUUGGGAGAGACAGGUAUAACAUGGCUCACUGACCUUUUCAAUAGGAUUUUGAAAACGAAAAAGAUGCCAAAUGAGUGGCGAACGAGCACUUUGGUGCCUAUCUACAAGAAUAAGGGCGACGUACAAAAUUGCAUGAACUAUAGGGGUAUUAAGCUAAUGAGUCAUACAAUGAAGCUCUGGGAGAGAGUCAUUGAGCAUAGAUUGAGGCAAGAGACACGGGUUUCGGACAACCAAUUCGGGUUCAUGCCAGGGCGCUCAACCAUGGAGGCAAUCUAUCUCUUACGAAGAUUGAUGGAAAGAUAUAGAGAUGGGAAAAAUGAUUUACACAUGGUCUUUAUAGAUUUGGAAAAAGCGUAUGAUAGGGUCCCAAGAGACAUUCUUUGGAGGAUUUUAAAGAAGAAAGGAGUACGAGUAGCAUAUAUCCAAGCUAUAAAGGACAUGUAUGAAGAAGCAAAGACUGCCGUAAGAACUCAUGAAGGACAAACCGAAAGCUUUCCCAUAACUGUAGGAUUACAUCAAGGCUCAUCCUUAAGUCCUUACCUUUUUGCGUUGGUAAUGGAUGAGUUAACAGGACAUAUUCAAGAUGAUAUUCCUUGGUGUAUGCUUUUCGCAGACGAUAUAGUGUUGAUAGAUGAAACUCAGGAAGGGGUAAAUGCAAAGCUUAACCUUUGGAGAGAAGUGUUGGAAUCUAAAGGUCUUCGCCUAAGCCGAUCAAAGACAGAAUAUAUGGAGUGCAAGUUCAGUGCAAAUGGAGGCCAAAACGAGUUAGGGGUGAGGAUCGGAGAUCAAGAAAUACCAAAGAGUGACCGUUUUCGUUACCUAGGAUCUAUCUUGCAAAAGAACGGAGAAUUAGAUGGAGAUCUCAACCAUAGAAUACAAGCUGGAUGGAUGAAGUGGAAGAGUGCAUCUGACGUGUUGUGUGACCGUCGUAUGCCACUGAAGCUCAAAGGAAAAUUUUAUAGGACGGCAAUAAGGUCGGCGAUGAUUCAACUUGGCGGGUUCGAGCAAAUAGGCGUUGGGCCAUAUUAGACACAGAACCUGCACACUGAACACUGAGAGCUAGCGAAUCCUUAACAGCUAACUCAUCAGACCGUUUGGAAAGUAGUCUGUUAUCUUUGGGAGUGAGAAGGUUCCUGGCCACCACCGCAGCGGUCAUAUCAUUCUUCAUCACGGAAUCCCCAACGGUAAGAGGACCAGUAGGGGAGACAAAGGAUGGGCGCCAUAUGUUGUCUGGAGAAGGCGGGGCUGCCUCUUCAACAAGGUUCAAGUCAAAAAACGACGGUCGGAGGGCCAGACAUUUUCAAAGGUGUUGAAGAGAGAAGAGGUCGGACACAAAUCAAGAUCUUAGAAGUGCAAGAAUGAAGCUUCUACUGGUGGAGAUUCAAGUGUGCUUUGGAACUUAAUGCCAGCCCCUAUAAAAAUCUGCACUCGACGGAGCUUCAGAAAUCGAAGAGGCGUUUGCUUUCUCAAAAGCUGGGCUGCUUAGAGAUCACGAGGGUUGAUCUCAGGAAUCGAAGAGGCGUUUGCUUUCUCAAAAGUUGGGCUGCUCAAAGACCACGAAGGCCGAUCUCAGAAAUCGAAGAGGCGCUCACUUUCUCAAAAACUGGGCUCCCCAGAGACCACGAGGGCCGAUCUCAAAAAUCGAAGAGGCACCUACUUUUCCAGCCUUGUCAGCACCUGUCACACGCACACUCAGCUUUGCGGAAAUUAUGGGCAUUCUGUCGAAGACUUCUGGGGAAGUAGAAAACACAUGAAUCUUACUGUUCAAUCACCCACUUCCCACACGCAAUAAUAGCUCAUGGGUACCACAGAUAACUUUGCCAAAGUUCUCUGCCAAAGUUGAGCACGUGAAGCUUGCAGCUCCCACUACAUCGCUCUGACCAAGAAGGGUAAAAAGAAUAGCAAAGAAACAGCACUAACAAAGUUUAGACCCAUAAAUUUUGAAGGUCUAGCUACCAUAUUAUUACCCACAAGGGUAAAGGAACAGUACCACUGCUGGAUAAUUGGAAAGUCCCUAUGUGUCAACCUCUGUGCUUCGUGGCAAGGUAGACUAGCAAACAUGCCCAACCUUUACUCACAUUCGAGAAAACACUCCCAAUAAGAUUGCUUGCUCCAAAAUCGAAGAGGCACCGUCCUCCGAAUCUCGAGAGCCAGACUCCCAACAUGACUACUUUCUUAAAAAUCGAAGAGAGGGUAAAGGAACAGUACCAUUGCUGGAUAAUUGGAAAGUCCAUGUGUGUCAACCUCUGUGCUUCGUGGCAAGGUAGACUAGCAAACAUGCCCAACCUUUACUCACAUUCGAGAAAACACUCCCAACAAGAUUGCUUGCUCCAAAAUCGAAGAGGCACCGCCCUCCGAAUCUCGAGAGCCAGACUCCCAACAUGAUUACUUUCUCAAAAAUCGAAAGAGACACUGCUCCCCGAAUCUUCGAGAGCCAGACCCCCAGCAUGAUUGCUUUCUCAAAAAUCGAUGAGGCAUCGUUCUCCGAAUCAAUCGAAGAGGCGCUCGCUUUCUCAAAAGCUGGGCUGCUCAGAGACCACGAGGGCCGAUCUCAGAAAUCGAAGAGGCACUUACUUUUCUAGCCUUGUCAGCACCUGUCACACGCACACUCAGCUUUGCAGAAAUUAUGGGCAUUCUGUCGAAGACUUCUGGUGAAGUAGAAAGCACAUUAAUCCUACUGUUCAAUCACCCACUUCCCACACGCAACAAUAGCUCAUGGGUACCACAGAUAACUUUGCCAAAGUUCUCUGCCAAAGUUGAGCACGUGAAGCUUGCAGCUCCCACUACAUCGCUCUGACCAAGAAAGGUAAAAGAAUAGCAAAGAAACAGCACUAACAAAGUUUAGACACAUAAAUUUUGAAGGUCUAGCUACCAUAUUAUUACCCACAAGGGUAAAGGAACAGUACCACUGCUGGAUAAUUGGAAAGUCCCUGUGUGUCAACCUAUGUGCUUCGUGGCAAGGUAGACUAGCAAACAUGCCCAACCUUUACUCACAUUCGAGAAAACACUCCCAACAAGAUUGCUUGCUCCAAAAUCGAAGAGGCACUGUCCUCCGAAUCUCGAGAGCCAGACUCCCAACAUGACUACUUUCUCAAAAGCGAAGAGAGGGUAAAGGAACAGUACCAUUGCUGGAUAAUUGGAAAGUCCCUGUGUGUCAACCUUUGUGCUUCAUGGCAAGGUAGACUAGCAAACAUGCCCAACCUUUACUCACAUUCGAGACAACACUCCCAACAGGAUUGCUUGCUCCAAAAUCAAGAGGCACCGCCCUCCGAAUCUCGAGAGCCAAACUCCCAACAUGAUUACUUCCUCAAAAAUCGAAGAGACACUGCUCUCCGAAUCUCGAGAGCCAGACCCCCAGCAUGAUUGCUUUCUCAAAAAUCGAAAAGGCAUCGUUCUCCGAAUCUCGAGAGCCAGAUACCACAGACCACUUUUUCAAAGUGCUCUGACAGAGUUAAAACAUGUGAAACUGGCAGCUCCCACUACCGUGCUAUGACCAAGCAGGGUAAAGGAAUAGCAUUACUACUUGUUGUUAGGGAGACUCCUAUAUAUGUCGACCUCCAUCCCCAACGGACAGGCAGACCUGCAAAAAUGCUCAACCCUUCAUCAUAUCUGAGUGGGCACUCCCAACGAAGCCUUUCGAAAUAUUCAGCUUUCUUUCCCCCCGAUAAUACCUCUGCAAACAAGCUAUACUAGAGCAAGAAUAUCUCAUAUCAUCAGGGUUAAAAGCAAGAGUAUCCCAUAUCAUGCUUUUUCCCUGUCUUUUCCUUUGGCCUUGUUUUUACCUGCAAGACAAGGAGAAAGAGAGCAAUCAGUCAGCACUUGGAAUCAAGCUUCCAACCAGGAAAUGACUGCCUGGAACCCCUUACUUGGCAUUGCUCUCGAGUACUCAUCUUCAACAUCUUAUGUUUCCAGGGAAGAUUCUGCAUCUGCUUGAGGAACAGAUAGGGCAAGUGCGAAGGAUACAAGGAAGCAUGCGGAGACAAGCGUAACAGCACACGUGCCGAUACAUCCAUUACUCUGUCAAAAGCAAAAGUAUCCCAUAUCAGCAGGGUGGAACGUACUCUAGAUUUGAUGGACUUGUUUUGACCCUCAAAUUCUUCAGUCGGCCUUAUAUUCUGGAGGAAACCAGAAAACCCUCCAGCUCAGUUCAAGAAUAAGCCUGUGGAAAGUUACUUCUUCAAAAGCAAAAGUAUCUCAUAUCAUCUCUUCUCAUUUUUCUUCUCUCUUUAUCCUUCAUGCUGCUGCAAGAUGGGGAGAAGGUGAACAAUCAGUCGGAGCUCUGAUUGCUUACCUUGUCUGUCACCUCUUUCAGCAGACCCCCUAGCUCGGCGACUUGGGGGACUCCUACUAAAUGGUUUGUAUCGCGCUUGACCAAGCCUGAAACUACAAGUAAGCUUCAAGUGAAAUUGAUACAUUACCUUGUGCAUCUCCACCAGUUAAAGAUACCACCCCUGGAUGGAGGAAGAGUACUUCCAGAGAAGAUGCCACAUCUACCUAUGAGACAGAUAAGGCAAGUCAAGACGACACCACACUCCGAUACUUAGAAGUUUCGUGAUUAUGAGAUCAUUCUCCCACAAUAUUUCCUAAUGUCAUUUGUACUAAAUCAUUCACUUGUACUCACUAAAGGAGAGCUUGAACCUAUGUACUUGUGUAAACCCUUCACAAUUAAUGAGAACUCUUCUAUUCCGUGGACGUAGCCAAUCUGGGUGAACCACGUACAUCUUGUGUUUGCUUUCCUAUCUCUAUCCAUUUAUAUACUUAUCCACACUAAUGACCGGAGCAAUCUAGCGAAGAUCACAAAAAGCGACCGUUUUCGCUACCUAGGAUCUAUCUUGCAAGAGAACGGAGAAUUAGAUGGAGAUCUCAACCAUAGAAUACGAGCUGGAUGGAUGAAGUGUAAGAGUGCAUCCGGCGUGUUGUGUGACUAUCGUAGGCCACUGAAGCUCAAAGGAAAAUUUUAUAGGACGGCAAUAAGGCCAGCGAUGUUGUAUGGCACAGAAUGUUGGGCGGUGAAGCAUCAACACGUACACAAAAUGGGUGUAGCGGAGAUGAGGAUGCUUCGUGGGAUGUGUGGGCACACGAGAAAGGAUAAGAUUGGGAAUGAGGAUAUCCGAGGUAAAGUAGGAGUAGCCGAAAUUGUAGGAAAGAUGAGAGAAAAUCGGCUCCGGUGAUUUGGACAUGUGCAAAGAAGGCCGACUGACGCUCCGAUUCGAAGAUGUGACUACGGGACAGAGGUUCAGGGCCGAAGGGGUAGAGGAAGACCUAGGAAAACUUUGGAAGAGACUCUAAGAAAAGACUUAGAGUACUUGGAUCUAACGGAGGACAUGACACAAAACCGAGCGCAAUGGCGUUCUAGGAUUCAUAUAGCCGACCCCACUUAGUGGGAAAAGGCUUUGUUGUUGUUGUUGUUGUUGUAUUUUUUCCCUUUUCAAAAUCGAAAUGUUCUAAAUUAUUUCACUAAUCCUUGCUAGUUUGAACUGCAGGAGUCUGUCUCUGGAUUUGAAAGAUUAUCUGGACUUACAGUUUUGAAGAAUUGGGAUUCUAGUGUUACACAUAUUAUUGCAUCGACAGAUGAAAAUGAAGCAUGCAGAAGAACCCUUAAAAUUUUGAUGGGUAUCUUGGAGGGGAAGUGGAUUCUGAGUGUGGAGUGAGUUUUACUGUUUUCGUUUUAAUUGUUCUUCCUCAAGUGCUUGGACUUUACAAUUGUAAUGAGUACAGAAGCCGAAAUGAGAUAUUGAUAUACAUGUUCACAUUGCUGAUAAUUCGUUAUCCGUCUGUUUGUGUAGGAAUUAAUGCUUGCACAUAAGUAAUGAAACUAGUUAAUGAGGAGCCUUAUGAAAUCAACGUUGACAUUUAUGGAAUCAGGGAUGGUCCUCGACUUGGUAGACUAAGGCUGCAGAACAAGGUUAGCUUUUCCUCGAGUUUAACUAUCAUCACGAAAACUUUAGAUUUUCAUGGAUUCACCAUAGGCAUUGUUAAUCUUGUUCAGUCCAUAAAUAGGUUACACACUUAUCUUAACAAAGGUGAGACCUUCUCAAUUCCUCAUCGAGAUGAAUCAAGAGCAUAAUUGUAGCAGUGAUCAAGAGCAAUUUUUUUAUGUUUCUUCCAAAUUGUUGAGAUGAAUCAUCUGUGUUUUGUUCUAAUAAUCUUACAAAUUUGUUGAGCAAUUUUUGUAAAGUCAGAAUCUUUGGUUUCGGUUGUGAGGUAUCUGAUUUGGGUAUAUGUGUUUUGCAGGGCACGGUGGUUGUGGCGGAGGAAGAUUAGGAUUGACGACAGAGCUCUGGCCAUGAACUAUCAGCUCUGUCUUUCUCUCUCUAACUAUGAAUUGAAUACAAAAGUCUGUGUUGAUAUGGAAAAUGUAGCUCAAAAUUAUUACACAAAUGGCAAAAAAAAAAAGUUCGAGUGUGGAGUUUCACUUACUGAUACAGGGCUUUUGAAACAGGGUUGUCUAGACUGUAGAAGAAAUCCAUGGCUUUUGGAAGAGGGGAUGUUCCAAAUCUAUCUUUUCUCCCUCUCUAAUGUUCUUCGAGGGGUUCUUGUGAUGCAAAAAGUGGUUUAUAUAUAUUUUUUAUUAUUAAUAAAUUUUCUGUCGGUUUUAUCAGACAAUAAUUCUUUUAUUUAUUCUUAUUAAUAAUUUCUCUGUCGGUUAUAUCUGACACAAUUUCUGUCGAUUUUAGAGUAUUUUCUAUCGAAAAUUUCAUUUCCUGACGCAUCAAUUAUGUCGCUUAUUAUAUCCGCCACUGCACUCAUUUCAUGUCGGAUUUUGCUUAAUUUCCAACAGUAUUAUACAUUUCUUGUCGGUUUUUAAACCGACACUAAUGGGUACUUUUGUAGUAAUGUUGGGGCGUCGGAGUUCGUUUAAGGUCGAAUUGAGCACACCCAAAUUCAAGGGUUCCGUACGGUUCAUGGUAAUUUGAGGUAUUUCUCAGCCAAAUUGUCCUUAGUCACAGAUAUGAAAGUUGCUCCACUCGUUGAGAUCUUCAUUUAUGUCAAAUUUGAGAAUUUUUAGAAAUAAUUGGAUUUUCCAGCGAAUCGGGGCGGCGGACCACCACCGGACAGCGCAUGGCUAGUGGGCCCCCAAUGUCAUUUUACGUUAAAUUGGUAUCUUGAUUUUAGGUUUGAUGUCUAUAUGUUAUGACUUGAUAUGUGAACCUAGUUUAAUUAAGGUGCGUUAAUUGGUAAAAAUAUGAAACGACGAUCCGACCGUGGGAUCGUCACCAAUCUUUAUUAUGUUAUAGUACAUUAUAUUUGAGAAUCAUAGGGACUGACGGAUAGGAAAUCCGAUAUACGGAUCUUCCUGAAAUGGAAUUGUAAGUUCGAAGAAUAAACGUUAACCGCCACUUUGUUUUGACUAUUGGUGAAGAUCCAACCGUUGGAUCAUAAUGAAAUUUUAGGAUGAUGUUUUAGAAGCAUAAUGUGGAUCUUUGGAAGUUAUUGAUUGGAAAUCCGAGGAGCGAAUCUUCCGGAUUGAAUUACGUAAGGUUGUGGACCCUACCGUCGAUCGUUGACUGACGAUCGACUUUUGGUCAAUGGGGCUUAAAUCACUCUAAAAUGUUUUUAGGGAUGUGUUUUACGUAAAUUACAUUAUCUAUGGAUAAGAAUUCUGAGAUGUGGUUUGAUAAUUGUCCUGGGCGCCGAUCGUUAGGAACGCUUCGAUGGUUGUGCUAGGAAAUUGUAGCAUAGACUCCAGGUGAGUGAAUCUUUUCCUUCUUAUAUAUAUAUAUAUAUAUAUAUGAUUGACAAUUCCACAAACGUUUAUAAAUUGAUUAUUGCAUAUAACUACUGUAAAUACUUUGAAGUACUUAUGCGAACUACGAAUGGCUUGAUCCCUAUUUAGGGUACGUAUGCAGUCUAACAAGACAUUAAAUGCAGUCAUACAAUAAUUGAGAUUAAACAAUUGAGACAAAGCCUUGUAUGGGGAACUGGGCAAGGUGAACGAAUUUGGUAAAAAUGUGAGAUUUAACCUUCUGAAUUGGUGAUUAAAUGUUGGUCAUAAAUCAAUGUGUAAAGAAUCAAGAAUUUGAAGUAAGGAAACGUAAGUAAUGAUAAUUAAUUAAACUAGUGUCUAGUUGGGCUUGUCACCUAUAAUUAUCCCCAAAAAUGAAUAAUUCGGGAGUAGGGCGUUAUAGCUUCUGCAUUUUUAUGCCACAUUAUAUAUAUAUAUAUAUGUGUGUGUGUGUGUGUGUGUGUGUGUGUGUGUAUAAUUGGAAAUGCUAUAACGUGGUUGAGUAUCAGAUUUCAUCAUGGUUUAUCUAUAUGUAUAUUACCUGCACACAAUUAUUAUGAACACUUUGAAGUGCAAAGGUGAACGCAAGACACCCAGGAAAGUUCAGGUGAGUUUAUGGUAUUAGUUGAAAUGAUGGGGUUAUGGUAACUACAUGUAUGUUUAGGUUGCAAUGAUAGGCAACUCCGACACUGUCGUACAAGUUGCCCAUGAAUUGUAUAUGUUACAAUAGAUAGAGUUAGAGGUCAUAAACCUGCACCCCGGUGUUAGUGCUCCCACCCGUGGCUAGGGCACAGUCUUUCACGAGAUGUUCACCUCUCGCAUCUUACGCUCACCUUGGAUCCAAGGUAGGUGCACAGUCAUGUCAUAAAGACCACUAUAGGUGGUUCCGACUAGUAGAUGACCCGUGAUUAUUCGCACAGUCUUCACGUGAUUGUAGCACUUGAGCGUAUUUAUUUACACCCAGUCCUGUCGUACAGACCACUUUAGGUGGUUCCGACUCGUAUGCAGGUAUACUUAUUGAGCUAUGGAUAAGUCGUACAGGUCACUAAAGGUGACUCCAACUUAUGAGCUAGCAUAUGUGAUGAAAUAUGUGAUGAGCUAGCAUAUGUAAUGAGAUAAGUGAUGAGCUAGCAUAUGUGAUGAGAUAUGUGAUGAGUUAGCAUACGUUAUGAGAUAUGUGAUGAGUGAUAUAAUCAUAAUUGCAUACAUUUUCAUGCCCUUUUAGUUUAGAUUUUUGUUAUCCUUUUGAGUGAAUUUAGUUUGUUUCACUUAGUUUUAUGUUUUUCUUAGAUUUGAAGUGUGAAGAUGAAGAAAGAAGAAAAAAGAGCAUUUUUAGCGAUUGAAAUGAGUUUGGCAUGCUGGAAGCAGAGGCUAUUUGUGCGGAUCAGCCAACUUUACGGAUUAAACUGUACUUCCUUAGAAUGCCAGCUGUUGAGUCUUAUACCAUUGGAAAGAUAUGAAAGUUAGCUUUCAGAGGAAUUUUACGAUUCGUGAUUCCGAGUUUCCUAGAAGACGUUAUAGUGGUUUUUCUACCAGAUGUCUGCCAGCAAGGUUUUACGCGGGAUUUGCAAAGAGAUUCCAGAUUUACAAAGUUUAAUUAAAGGAAACAAGCAGAGAAAAAAGAAGAGGAAGCUUUUAGAAAAGUUCAGGACUAUUCUAAACGGUGCAUAGUUAAUAUAUUUAAUAGUUUAGUGUGCCACAUCAUCAAUAAACUAAUCUAAGUCAGAAGAGAAAUUCAAGAGUCCCAUUCAAGUAAGUAUUCCAGCAGUUUUAUUCAGGAAUAAAGGAGGGCAGACCGUCGGACUUUAGGAGCGGACAGAGAGAGUUUUUGGGUUUUCGAAGGUGCAGAGAAGAGGUCGCAGCAAGGAGUGAAACAGAGUCGCCGAUCAUCUGGGCAAUCCAUCACCAUCGUGUGGAAGUAUUUUAUGUUUUUCAGAUUUUUAAUUAUGUUUUCAGAUUUUAUGAGUAACUAAACUCUUUUUCUAAGGUUAGGAUGAUGCCCUAGCAUGGAUGUUUAUGGUUUGUAAUGUUAUUCAUUGGAUUUCCAGUUUCUUUUAGAUGAAUGCUUAAUCACUGUUUGAAUUGUUACUGUUUGUUUGAGUUCUUUGAUUGAUCACCUUAGGACUUUGCAUCUAGUAAGAUUGGAAGAUGAAUUUGAGACUGAACUAACAAUAUAAUUCAAUUAGCUUCUUGUGGUUAAGUGUGGUAAAUUACAUUAUUGCUUGAAAAAGAAUAAUGGUUUGUUUGGGUCCCUUGUUUUCUAGAGGGUAAAGAGUCCUACUUGUUAAAUUUAUGCCUUAACUAGGAUAGACUGCUUGUUAGGAUAUACGACCUCUGCCUAAACUAGGAGAGAAUCAUUCACAUAAGGAAAACUAUGGUCUAAUAUGCCUGACAAGGACUUAGAUACGGGAAUUAUCAUCUAAAGAAUUGAAAGAUCCAUUGAAUGCAUUGAAACCUAAACUAGAUUGCUUGUGGUUGAUUCCGAAUCCCUAGAUUUUCAUCACUUGCCUUAAAACACAACCGUUUCUUUUCUUUAAUUUCAGUUUUUACUUAAGGUUCUGUUUUUGUUCAUUUAUAAAAUCAUCACAACAAAUUUUUUACAUCUUUGAUUGACUUAUUAAUUAAGAUCGAGUCUAGUUCGUUGUUUGGGUUUGUGUGUCUUUAAUAUAAUUAGAUUUGGUUUAGUUUAUCAAAUUGGAGAUUGAAUUAGAAUCCUCGUGGGAACGAUACUUGGACUUGCAAAACGUUAUAUUACGACUAUCUUGUGCACUUGUAAGUUUACACCAAGUUUUUGGCGCCGUUGCCGGGGACUCUAAUUGAGUCCCCCAAUUUGAUAUCAUAUUCCAUAUCUAAUAAGUAGUUUAUUGUAGAUUAUUCAAUUUGAUUUUGUUUUGUUCUCUAGUUUCGAGUAAGAGUCAUAACUAUUAAGAUAAGUAAAAGUAAUUUUCGUCACUGUUUUAUUUCAGUUUUGUAUCACUGUUUCGACACAGUUUUGGACUAAACUAUUCGAUUUUUUACCAGGAAUAUUGUGUAUCGUUGGAAAGCCCCAGAAGUCUAGUUUUCAACCCAAAAAACAGAUCAAUGAUUGGAUUUUUGAGCUGCAAGAAAUGUACAAAAUACUGAGCAGUGGUCAAACAAGGAGCACAGUCUGGUCGUAUAUGCAAGGUAGACGUUCGUUGCAAUUUGAGUUGAUUCAUAUAGACCAAGAACUUGUGCGUACUUUAAGAGAACAGUGGAGGCAGCGAGUGUGUCAAGAACCAGCCAUGGAGGAAGUAGUUAAUAAUGGUGGAAAUAAUCCUCCACCAUUGCUACCACCACAACCAAGGCUCAUGCGUGAUUAUACAAAGCCAACGGAGUACAACGCACCGUCAUGCAUUGUUUUGGCUCCAAUUGCGCAGCGAUUUGAGAUUCGUCCACAAAUCUUUCAGUUGCUGCCUAUAUUUCUUGGGAAGGAGGAAGAAAAUCCAUACCAUCAUAUCAAGGCGUUUUUCAAGCUAUGUUCCACAUUCACAUUCACCAAUGUUACUGAAGAGCAAAUUCGACUUCGGUUAUUCCCAUUCUCUUUGAGGGAUAAAGCAAGCAGUUGGUUGGAUUCUCUUCCCGAAGCAUCUAUCGACACAUGGACAAAAUUAUCGAAGAAGUUUUUGUCCAAGUUCUUCCCCGCUCGAAGAACCAAUGCUCUGAUCAAUGAAAUCAUGAGCUUUCGACAACAAGAAGGUGAACAGUUUCAUGAAAGUUGGGAGCGCUAUAAGGACUUGUUUCUUCAAUGUCCUCAUCAUGGUUUCAACACUUGGCAAAAGGUUCAUUAUUUUUACAAAGGUUUGAACUCUCAAUGUAGGAGUUUGGUUGAUUCAACGGUUGGUGGAACCUUGAUAGACAAAACUCCAGAAGAUGCCAUACAUGCCUUUGAAACUAUAUGUGAAAAUUCUGAGCAUUGGGAUUUUCCUACAAAAGAUUUGAGAGUUCCAACUGCAUCGUCAACAAAAAAAGGAGGCAUUUAUGAAGUUAAUACAAGGACGGGCUUAGAGGCACAAGUGGCAGCCCUCACCAAGCUUCUCACACCACUUGUAAGCAAGAUAGCCACGCAGCCAUGUACUUUAUGUGCGAGCAUCGCCCAUGACAUGGAAAAUUGUCCAACAAAUGCUAAUCUAGAAGGCAUCCAAGAGGUCAAUGCAUUUAGUGGGAGGCCCCGGAAUGAUCCAUAUUCUAAUAAUUAUAACCCGGGAUGGAGAGAACAUCCAAAUUUUUCUUAGAGAGAUUCACAAAAUAGCAUGGGAUCAUUCACUUCAACAAAGCAAUAUCAGCAACCUUAUCAAGCUCCUCCAAUUCAACAAAAAGACUCGUCUAUCAAGGAUAUGUUAUCUCAACUCUUAAAGAAAACUGAUCGGUAUGAACAUGAAGUUGUGUCGCUUAGACAAAGUCAGACGGUGUUGGAAAAGGCUCGAUCUAAUUUUGAGACUCAGUUGGGACAGAUAGCUACUACUUUGAACAAGCUGGAGUGAGCACAAGGGCAAUUUCCAAGCCAAACUGAAACAAAUCCUAGGAAUCAAAAGCAUGUUCAAGCUGUCACCACUUUGAGGAGUGGAAAGACGAUUGGUAAUAAUGUGGAAAGUUCAAAAAUUAAUAAGGAAGAAGAUGAAGGGGUCAGCACAUAUCGGGCAGCAGCUUGACAAGACAAGCUAAAAAAGAGAAGUAUAUGGGAGAUAUUUUAGAGCAAUUUAGAAAGGUGCAGAUUAAUAUUCCUUUUCUCGAUGCCAUCAAACAAAUUCAAUCAUAUGCGAAGUUUUUGAAGGAACUUUGUACUAACAAGAGACGGUAUGAAGAACAUGAGGAGGUGAAGUUAUCAGACACGGUUAGUGCGGUUCUUCAAAGAAAAUUGCCACCAAAACUUCAAGAUCCUGGUAGCUUUACAGUCCCAUGUGUCAUUGGAGAAAGAAAAUUCGAAAAAGCUUUGCUUGACUUGGGAGCCAGUGUGAAUUUGAUGCCCUAUUCUGCUUAUAAACACCUCAAAUUAGGCGAACUAAAGCACAUAUCCAUUUCUCUACAAUGCACUGAUCGUUCUGUGAAAUAUCCAAGAGGGAUUGUUGAAAAUGUACUUGUGUGUGUUGAUCAAUUUAUUCUUCCUGCUGACUUCAUCAUUUUGGACAUGGAAGAAGCCGAAAUUCCUGGUCGUGACUUGCCUCUCAUUCUUGGCAGACCUUUCAUGGCUACUGCAGGUACGAAGAUUGAUGUUAAAUCGGGAUUAUUAACUAUGACUGUGCAAGGUAUUACUGUAGAAUUUCAGGUCUUCGAAGCAUUGAAGAAGCCCAUGGAUCUUUAUGACUGCUUUCGUGUUGAGGUAGUGGAUCCAAUUAUAAAAAAAAACAUUCAUUGAAUCAAGCAUCUCAGAUCCUCUGGAAGUUUGUAUCUCUCAACAUGGGAUGAGUUUUGAAAAGGCUACCAUCAUUGAAGCAGAACGAGAUCUCAAUGCCGUAACGUCCUACUCUCUUAGAUGCCAGCCCAAAUUUGAAGCGUUGCCACUCACAAGCCAAAAUUGUACCAUCCAUUAUACAACCUCCAAAGCUUGAAUUGAAGCCUCUUCCAGAGACUUUAAAGUAUGCAUAUUUGGUGAUUCAGAGACUCUUCCUGUGAUUAUAGCUGCUGAUCUUAACCAAACAGAAGAGGAAAAGUUGAUGCAAAUGUUGAGGGAGCAUAAAACAGCAUUGGGAUGGAGUAUUGCAGACAUAAAAGGAAUUAGUCCUCAAUUUGCAUGCAUCGGAUAUAUCUUGAGGACAAGUCAAAGCCUUCUAGAGAGGCACAGCGACGUCUAAAUCCACAUAUGCAAGAAGUGGUUCGGGCAGAAGUUCUUAAAUUACUGAAUGUCGGCAUUAUUUAUCCUAUAUCUAACAGCAAAUGGGUAAGUCCACUGCAGGUUGUACCACAGAGAUCUGGAAUUACAGUUGUCAAGAAUGAAAAUAAUGAGCUUAUACCCCAGAGGACUGUCACGGGUUGGAGAAUGUGUACAGAUUACAGAAAGAUCAAUAAUUCAACUCGAAAAUAUCAUUUUCCACUCCCUUUCCUUGAUCUCAUGCUUGAGAGACUUGCAGGCCAUAGUUAUUAUUGUUUUCUUGAUGGCUAUUCCAGAUAUAAUCAAAUUCCCAUAGCUCCGGAAGAUCAAGAAAAGACUACUUUCACAUGUCCAUUUGGAACUUUUGCCUAUCGACGAAUGCCUUUUGGGUUAUGUAAUGCUCCCGCAACAUUCCAAAGAUGCAUGAUGAGCAUUUUCUCAAACUUGGUGGAAAGGUGUAUCGAAGUGUUCGUGGAUGAUUUUUCCGUGUUUGGGUCAUCGUUUGAUCAAUGUCUUCAUCAUCUUUCAUUGGUGCUCUAACGGUGUCAAGAAACCAACUUGAUUUUAAAUUGGGAAAAAUGUCAGUUUAUGGUGAAAAGUGGUAUUGUUCUUGGUCAUGUAAUUUUAGCUGACGGAAUUGAAGUUGAUAAAGCUAAGGUGGAGCUGAUUUCGAAGCUUCCUCCUCCCACUUCUGUAAAAGAAGUUCGAUCCUUUCUCGAGCAUCCAAGUUUUUAUCGCCGAUUUAUUAAAGAUUUCUCGAAAAUCACCAAGCCACUUUGUGAUCUGCUUGCUAAAGAUUCUGUGUUUAAUUUAAAUGGUGAGUGCUUACAAGCUUUUGAGACCCUCAAGAAAGAAUUAACACAAGCCCCAAUCAUAAAAGCUCCAGAGUGGUCUCUUCCUUUUGAAAUCAUGUGUGACGCCUCUGAGUAUGCAAUAGGUGUUGUGUUAGGGCAGCGAGUUAACAAACUUCCUCAUGUUAUAUUUUAUGCUAGCCGAAUUCUCACUUAACAACUUUCAUAUCCCUUAGUUUCCAAAAUUUAAUAUACAAAUUUAGUCUCCCAAGCAUUGCUAUAUUACUUAAGUAUUGAUUAAUAGACUUAUUUCUUAUGGUGACACAUUAUUUAGUUUACAAAUUUAGUCUAUCUAACAUUACUCUUUUGACAUUGUCUUGUCCACUGAUAUAAUUCUAUUUUUCUUGUGAUCAAAACUUCAAAUGUUAGCAAGUCGCACGUAAAGUCGCUUCUGAGAGAAUGUGCUCACAUUGUAGUUGAAAGAUUAUGUGGCUAGCAACAUUACAAAUUUAAUUUGGUAUAAUUUUAAAAUAUAGAUUGAGGAAAAAAAGGAUCACAUUAACUAGAAACUGAAAAGGUUUCGGCGCAAUAUGUUCAAGCAAGAAACUCAAUUUUGAUGCUACCGAUCUUAACAGCCUGAGCGCCGUACCUGGGCACUAAAGUCACCACCACACUCUCAUCAUCUUCAGCACCCAAAUCCUCCAACAGGUCCGUUAACCCCAACCUUAAACAACUCUUGCUCUUUUCCUUCUGCUUAUGUGGCACACUCACAAAACUCCCAGCAAACUCGCUCUUGUCGGGUCCACUCGGUGCCGCAUCCUCAUCAUCCACGUCAUUCACAUACACAUCAAACUUCACAGCCACAUCUUUGUCAAGCUCAAUCCCCCGAAUCACCAAUAUCUCCUCCUCAUCCUCUUUCUCCUUCUUGCUCCUCUUCUUCGGCUUCGGCCUUGACACCACCGUAGUUAUCUUCGUCUCCAAAUUUAUUGGAAAAUCUUUACCCGCCACCACCUUCCCCGAUGACGUCGUCUCAGCGGCCUUCGCCACUCCAGCCGCCUUUGCCUUUCUCGCAAGCUUUGUCCGACGUGGCGUCGGUCUAGAGUUGAGCCAUGGAAUCUCAACAUCUUCAUACGUAUACCCUAGCUUUUUAUUAUCAAGAGUGUCCCUCACCGUGACCCUAACAAGCUCAGCAUUCUCGUCAUAAAACAAAAACCCCGUAUCCAACCAAUCCUUAUCGUUAAUAUCUUUAUUUUUAGUCCCUAUACUUUUCCAAAUAUUCCACAUUCGAUCCAGAUUCAAAUGGUGCGCAAAAAAUAUCGGAUCCCUUGCAGUGGAGUAAAAAUUCCCCAUGUCUUCAUAAUUAGGUUGCGUGUUAUCUCCGGUCCAUGUAUGAACCGGACCAUGUGGGGUCUGUUCGAUUGCACCGGCCCCUGGAUCUGGUUCAGUGCCAGCCCUGUAGGGCGAACCAAAGAACAACAGCGGUUUCUUGGAGUUGGAAACCAUCUGCCUAUACAUGAUUUUGAGGUUGGCUUCGAUUUGAGCAUCCUUGGACAUUGUUUCAUCCGUGCCGUUGAAGUCAAGAUCGAUGAGAGUUGGCGGCUGAUGGCUGGCAGCGCGGAGCUCGUCGUAAAGCGGAGAGUCAGGGUUAGCGUACAAGGCAGGGAGUUGCAUGCCAGCUGGCGCGUCCCAGUUCCAAAACGGCAACGCGAAGGUCGGAUCGUCUAUGAGUUUGGCCAAGAUUCUUUCGUGGAAAUAUAGGUAGUAACGAUGGAAGGGGAAGAAAAGCCAGGAUUGAUGGAUUUGGAGCUCGAGGUUGGGGAAGCCGACUUGGUCGUACGCACCGUUACAAUAGGCACAGUGGACAUCGGCUUGCUGGGUGAAGCUACGCGGAUCGUCGUCCGGGAGGGCUUUCAUGAGCUCGAUGGCUUUUGAGUAUUUUUCGAUGUAGGCUUUAUCCACGGCGUGAGCUGCCGGCCUGACGCGGAGUUUGGUAGGGGAGGGGAAUUUGAAGUCUACGAUUUUUUGGGACGUUGGCGGGCAACAGUUGGUCGGGACUGCUCCACUUGGAAAGUCCGCAGCUCCGCAUUUGGCUAGGUCAGGCGGCGACACUGGCUUUGCAACAGCGAAGGGGUCGCUGCCAAGACCAGCCACUCCACCGUACAGGCUUCCGAGACCUAUAAGUACAUGUCUUCUGUCUAGGUUUACUGGAGAAGGGUUUUCAUGGUCGUGAUCGUUGGAGCUAGUGGAAGGGUUUUUGUUUUGGUCACUACUAUUAUUUGUGGCUUUGCAUGAGACAGCUUGUAAAUUGGAAUGCCUAGGGUUUCCAAAUGAGGAUAUUCGGUGAUACUUUUGGGAGAAAGGAGAGAGAGAAGUUGUGGGGAUGAUACUUGUGGUGGGGGUGACGAGUGGAGCUGACAUAGAAGCCAUGGUUACUUGACUCUGAAUAAUACGUUGUAUGGGCUUUUGCUUUUAUAAUAUGUUCUAGGUUUACUUUUCUUUGCACAGGUGGCAGGCCGUGCACACGUUGUCGAGGAAUAGUACGUAGUCAUUUAGGAGAAAAAUCUAAUUGUGACGGAGGUGACGAGUGGAGCUGACAUAGAAGCCAUGGUUACUUGACUCUGAAUAAUACGUUGUAUUGGCCUUGCUUUUAUAAUAUGUUCUAGGUUUUACUUUGAGGAAUAGUACGUAGUUAUUUAAGAGAAAAUUCUAAUUGUGAUUGGAAAUACAAGUGGUAUACCACGUGUUUUAAUAGAUGUAGUAAGAAAUUUUAUGUUUUAAGUUAUUAAUUUUUUAGUAUACAUAUCACAUCAUUUGUACAGUAACACAUGAUAUACUACUCCGUGUAUCGGUCACAUUGAAAAAUCUCUCGUCAUUUAGUACAGAACAACCGUGCACUAUAGCACGUGGCAUGUAUUUAGAGAUCGACAGAGAAUUGGGUAAGGUUGGCGGCCCUUAAGGGUUUGACGAGGAAUAGUACAUAGUCAUUUAGUACAGGACGACCAUGCACUAUAGCACGUGGCAUGUAUUUAGAGAUCGAGAAAGCAUUGGG
rnacentral:lncRNA from 1 species